GGGGCUUUUCGCUGAGCCUGAACUAUGUGCACUCUUUUUGCCCGUCACAAACUCGCGCGGAGGCGUGUACGGAGGCUCAGGAGGAAUGCAAAUCCUCAAACAAAUUGUGGGAGCCCUAUUUAUCAUUGGAUGGAAUCUUGUGGUCACCUCCAUUAUUUGCCUAGUCUUACGGUGUAUAGUUCCGUUGCGCAUGCCGGAGGAACAGUUGCUGAUUGGGGAUGACGCAGUGCAUGGAGAAGAGGCAUAUGCAUUGUGGGGUGAUGGGGAGAAGUAUGAUGUUACUAGGCAUGAGCUUUACUCCGAUGAUACGUCACACGCUCAAAAAUAUCCAUCCAGUGGUGCCACUCAGGUGGUCUAACUCAAAGUUAUAUAUUAUUUAUGUUCAUAAUCUGUUCUAAAAAAAAAAAAAAGGGGCCAAAAAUGAAAAGAAGAAAAAACGAAGUACGAAAAAUAGGUGUUAUUGUCAAUUAUUAUCUUAUUNNNNNNNNNNNNNNNNNNNNNNNNNNNNNNNNNNNNNNNNNNNNNNNNNNNNNNNNNNNNNNNNNNNNNNNNNNNNNNNNNNNNNNNNNNNNNNNNNNNNCAAAGAGGGAUUCAAUUAAUGUGUAAAUAGACAUCAGUUGAAUCCAAAGUCAAAUUCAAAGAUAUUUAACCCCAAUUUAUAGACCUUAACUAUGUACAAAUGGUUCAGCCCUAAGGAAAGAGAGAAAAUCCUAAGGAACCCCUUGGGGUCAGUGGCCUCCCUCCCUCCCUUCUCCACUAGUUCUUCCCUAUUCUCCUAUCCUCCCCUCCCCUCCCCUCUCCUCUCAUCUCCUUACCUCCCUAUUCCCCUCGAUACUUCUUUGUUUUUUUUGUUUUUUUUUUGUGGUGUGAAAUCAACUGUUGUGAAACGAUAUAGUCGUCAUGAUAAUUGGCAUCUUUCAACCCACGUACAUGAGAAUUUGGCUCCAUUUGUCAUCCUUCGACAUGGUUUAGAGCCACAAGAUGGGAAAAAUGUCGGGCUGCAUCGCGUUUGGGUUUAACCGGUGACGCUGUGGCUCUCUUCCGACUGUCGAGGAUGUGGAGCGGUGGCCUUGCUUCUUAAUUUAUUUUUGGCUAAUAAUUUCCAUGUUUCCAUGAACUGUAUAGCAAUUUGAUGUGUGUGUGUGUUUAUUUAUUUAUGUUUAGGAGGUUUUAUUUCUUUUUAGCUUUUACGGAUCUGUCAUUUGCUGAUGCGCAGCGAAUUUGUAUUACAGGUUCGAGUAGGUGUACUUUUGGUUGUUGAGUCUGGGAUUAUAGUAAUUUUGUGGAGAAGAUUCAUAUCGUUGUUGCAUUUCGUCACUGGAGAAGAUUUAUCAAUAUUCAGAACCAUAAUUGCUUUGUACUUUUUUCAUAAAAAAAUUAUUAUCGAAUAUUCAUAAGGCAUUUAAUUCCCUUUUUCUUGAACAGUUGGUCAUCUAUGUUGCACGGGUAUGUUGAUAUGAUACGAUAAGAUUCACCGAUAAGGCAAAAUUUCAAAAAACUACGAUACGGGUACAGCAUCAAUACGGCGAUUAAAAUAAUAUAUAUUUAAAAAUAAUAUAAAUAGAAAAAAUCAAUAUUACAUCCAUCAUGUCAUAAUCAUCCAUCAGAAGUGCAAAACAUAAAACUAAACACAAAAUACAAGUCUUCAUAGGAUUGUUCAAAUCAUACAAAAAAGAUAUAUAAAAAGCAACACAAAAACAAAUUAAAACAUUGAGAAGCCACUUCUCAAAUUUCUAACUUCAUUCAUCAUUAUCAUCGCAGGUAAAUAUGAUUGCUUCUAAUUCCUUCUUCCUAUUUCUUCUUCUUUUAUAGUUAUUCUCUCCCAAAUAAAAUGAAGACCUAGCUUCUAUCAAGAAGAAGAGGCUGAGUGUUUACAAAUUGAGUUUUUAAAAUUAACAUUAUCAGAAGACAAUAGGAGUAUCGACAUAUCGGAUAUGAAUAUCGGAGUAUCAGAUACGAGCACACCCCUCUAGUUAAGAGUAUCGGUGCAACAUAGUUGGUCAUUAAGGUCUACAAGAAUCGAUUAAAUGUCUUUCCAACGAUCAAGUUUUUUCUAGUUUUUGGAAAUACUUAUUAGUGUUGUUUUUGCAGCCAAGUUAUUUUAGUUAUGUGAUACAAAUUGUAUAGAAAAGUGAGAAGUAGAGAAAGACAAUAAAGCACCUGUACUGCUAAUUACCAUAAUAAGUGUAUAGGUUACAAAACAUAGAAAUUGUGGAGAUUAUAAACUUCUGUAAAAGAAAACGACACGAUUUUAAUUUGCGUGUUUAUGUUUUUUUUUCUUUAAAGAAACUAUUUUCUAACCUUAAAAAGAUCCAAAUAUACCACUAAAAGUAGGUUUUUUAUUUGGGGGGAAUAGAUGCUUUAUUAAAAAUAGUGUAAUGCUACACUUACCACAUUUUUAUCCCACAUUUCUAUAUCGCAUGAUGUGGCAUACCCAUAUUAUAUGUCACAUCAAUUAAAUCAAUGAAGUGUAUUUUAAUUAAGACAAUUAGAAAAACAAAUAUUAGAAUAAAUCAUAAAAGAAAAAGAAAAUAUUAAAAGACAUAAACAAAUGCAUAAAAAAAUUAAUACUAGCUUACUAAUAUUACUAUUAUUACUAUAGCCCCUUCACUCGCGCCUGAGGAUGAGGAGAUGGAAAUCCUGAGUCAUUAGGAACUCAAAGAAGCCAAUAUUUUAUUGGGCAAUUUCCAAGACCAUGGCCAAGCACAAAAAAUGAGACCAAUGCUGCAGGAAAGAAACAAAUGGAUAUUGGACCAAAGGCUUGUUGCACUAAUAAGUUCGGGAGCUUCUAUAGUGAGUGGAAAGUUAUAAGGGGUGUUUUUGAGGGGUAUGUAAGAGCCGUUGGAUUUCAUCCAAUAGUGAGUUUUGAAAUCUAACCCGUUAGAAACCCAACUUCAGUUGAAGAUCUUCCCCUCUUUCCCUCUCUGUGAAAAACUCAAGAACACAAUCCUCUCUUUUUGAAUGUAAAGUAAACCCACAAUUAGAAGGAUCCAAAUCUCCCAAACCUUAUAGUCACUCGAUUGUCAUUAGCUCCUUGGGAGGCCUGCGAUCUAUGAUAUCCUCGGUAUUACAAAGAAUGGCUCUUACCUAGCUGUUGCCCUGUUUUGAUUCUAUGGCUCAAGUGAAAACCCCUUCUCUUUUUCAUUCAGCUGAUAAGAUUCCAGAUGAAAGCAAAGUAGCAUAUCUCUUUUUGUAGCCAGACGCCGCAGCAGCAGUUGUUCCUCGAUUUUGGUAGAGAUGGAGUCUCAAAUACCAAAGAGUCUUCUCUAAUGUCCACUACAUUCUCUCAAGCUGACUGACUUCAGAGCUCCCGAUUGAUUUUGAGAGGUAAGUUCACUUGCUGGAUUGAUUUUAUUGGGGUUGGUUUAUUUUUUGUGAGGGUGGGAAAUUCGUCAUUUGUGGCAUCAAUAAUGCGUCAUUUUUGGAAUCAAUAAUGUGUCAUUUCCUUAUGAAUAUUCAAUAUACUUAGUUGAUUGUUUUUGGUGGGGGUGGAAAAUUAUGAAAUGUAGGUAAAAGAUCCUAAACUUAGGCUUAAUGACAUUAGGAGUAAGCAUUUGGAGAGGAUAUUGGAUGAAGUUCUGUAAUUGGUGGUUUGAAUUACAUUUGUGUUCUUAGUUGAACAUGUUGGUUCUAAUGUUAUUUUUUCCAGAUUAUUUCACAAGAGAUGACGUAACUAUUAUUAAAUUUUGCUUGCGUUUUGUGUAAUCGGAAGUUAUGCUAUGCGUAUUUUGUGUCAAUUUGGGCAAUGUUUUGUGUAAGUGGAAUGCAUUGAUAUGUUGUGAUGCAGUAAUGACUGAUUAAUGAAUUAAUAUUUGCUAUGCAGUAAUAUAGAAGUGGAUCAAUAAUAUACGUAGAUAAAAUGUCUGGGGGCUCAGAGAGUGAUGAAUGUGCAACAGCUAAUGGGAGGGUUUAUAUUCCUGAAGUAAGAAAUGAGGAAACAUCAGCAGUUGGGAUGAAGUUCGACUCGCUUGACCUCGUUUACAAUUUCUAUAAUAGAUAUGCAUUCUUGGCUGGCUUUGGUAUUCGACUUCAUUCCAGCUUUUGGGGGAAAAAUAAGAAAGAGAUUUUGAGGAAAGAAUUUGUAUGUUGCAAACAAGGUGUAUACAGGAGAGAUGAAACUCGGGAGAGAAAAAGACAACGGGGAAUAAGUCGAUGCAAUUGCAAAGCUAAGAUUGUGGUUGUGAAGACAAAUGGGAGCAAGAAGUAUACCAUCUUUCUUUUUGCAGAGGGACACAAUCAUAAGAUGACACCCUCAGAAAGAAUGCAUUUAUUGAUAUCACACCGUCAUAUUUCAGAUUCUACAAAAGUACUCACAAAACAGUUGGGUUCAGUUAAUAUUCCCAUUCAUCAGAAGGUAAGUAUUUUCGAGGUGCAAUCCGGAGGAAUGGAUAAAAUCGAUUUUAUCAAAAAAGAUAUCUACAAUCUUGAAUGUAGUGUGAAUGGGAAGCUAAGGAACCACGAUGUUGAACUAGUGACCGAGUAUUUUAUGGCUGAACAGAAAAAAAAAUGAGGCUUUUUAUUUCAAGAUUGAGGGAGAUGGCCAUGACAGGUUUAGUCGAUGUUUUUGGGCAGAUGCAACUUCUAGACGGGCGUAUGGGUUUUAUGGAGAUGUUGUUGUAUUCGAUACCACAUUCAACACGAAUCGAUACGACUUGACAUUUGCACCAAUGUUGGGAGUUAAUAACCAUGGUCAGACAAUUGUCUUAGCAUGCGCAUUUUUGAGCAAGGAAACGACUGAGUCGUUUGUUUGGAUGUUUGAGGAGUUUAAGAAAGCCAUGCCAGGUGGCGAACCUAAAACGAUCAUUACAGAUCAAGAUGCGGCAAUGGCCAUAGCGAUUUCAAUAGCCUUCCCGACUACAUUUCAUCGACUUUGCAUAUGGCACAUCACAUCAAAGUUCUCUGUUAAGUUACCACAUUCUGCUUAUUAGGAGUAUUGGCGUGAAUUUCAGAAAGCCAUAUGGGAUACUGACAAUAAGGAUGAGUUUGAUGCAAAAUAGAAUAUUGUGGUUACAAAGGCUGGUUUGACUGACCAUCCAUGGCUAAGUUCAAUGUUUGAUUUAAGGGAAUCUUGGGUUCCAGCCUACGCACGACAAUUUUUUGCCGCUGGAAUGUCAAGCAGCCAAAGAGCAGAAGGUUCUCAUCGUUUUUUCAAGCAAUACAUAUCAAGGAGAAAUUCGUUGAUGGAUUUCAUAAUACGAUUUGAGAGGGCAUUUUCUCAUCAACGUGAAAAACAGUUAGUUGAUGCAUUUGAAGUGGCUCAAUGUAUUCUACCGAUGCCAAUGAACAAACAAAUGGCUACCUUGUACACAAGGACAAUGUUUCAAAAGUUUGAGCAAGAACUAAUACAAAGUACAGCAUGUUUCCUGGAGCUCAAAACAGAGGAUGCUUCUAAAGUUGUCUUUAACGUGAGCGAAAGGAAAAAUUGGGAAACAAGAGUGGCAGAAAUCGUAUAUGUCAAAGAUUCUGACCACGCAUCGUGUAGCUGCAAAAGAUUUGAAUUUGUUGGAAUUAUUUGCAAGCACAUCCUAGCAUUGUUCAGAAGGGACCAGAUUGAAUAUAUGCCUGAUAAAUAUAUUUUGAAGAGGUGGAAGAAAACUGCGAAAUCUGGAUUGGUGUCAGAUGCAAAUGGCAACGAAAUUAAAGACUGUGCAGAUCCUGGUCUUUUAAUAAAGCGGUGUACAAUGUCUCGACUUGCUUCAGAUGUGGUUGAGGAUGCAUUAAUGAGUGAAGAAGGAUGUGAGCUACUGUCAGAGACUUUAAAAAGUUUGCAGGUGAAGUUGAAGUUGUUGAAGAAUGGACCAAGUAAUAACGAAGUUGGAGGGUCCAGCUCUCAAACACAAUAUAUGAAAGACCCUAAGAGAGUGAGGUGCAAAGGAAGGUCGAAAGGAGUAACGGGAGCAAAGGAAAAGGCAAUGAAGUGAGGGAUUAGACAUUGUCGAGAGUGUGGACACAUUGGUCAUGAUAGAAGACAAUGCCCAAGAAAUUUGAACACACCGUAAGAUGCUAACACUAUUUAUAAUAACAUCUAAAAUUUGAAUAGGGAAAUUUUUUAUGUGCUUGUGUUUGAUGUUUAUGCAGGACAUCACUGUCGAACAAUGACGAAUCAACUCCAAUAGAUUGUAGUGGCCCAUUAUUCGACGAAUUUGACAGGAUGCACUGACCAACUGAAUGAUUUAUGUUUCUAUUAGACGAAAUCUGGUUGUUAUGAAGAUUAAUGAUCAGGUGAAGUUUUCUAGAUUCAGUUUUUGAUUAUUGUUGUUUUUUUGUUCAUGUCCACCGAUGAGCUCUUACUAUGUCCACUGGUAAUUGAAAUGAAAAUUUGCUUGGUUUCAUUCUUGCAUGAAAUUUGGACACAUGUUAAUUUUACAUCUUCUCCCUAUUUAGAAAUUUUCAUAGACAUUUGAUAAAGUAUGAAAUUUUGAGUUAUGUGAAGAAGCAAUGACUUUUACCAUGUAAAAUGGGUAGUUUAGGGUGAAUUAUGUUUUAACAGAGAUUCAUUGAUUAUAUCACAAGCUAAUGCAGCAUUUCCAGCAGCCAGCUGUUGUUUCCAUUACCAGUAAUGAUUUCCAGCAGUACCCACUUUUUCCGACUGGUUAUUAGGGGCACGAUUUUGUAAACAUUUGUAACUGAAGGAUACUUGAAGCACUUUGUUGGAACAGAGCGAAUAGAAAGCAGUGUGUAAAAAAGAAAAAGUACAUUGCAGCUAAUUACAUUUCGAACGGUUGGAGAAUAUUAAAGGGUACACUAACUUACAUAACUACUCAUAAUUCCACACACAAAAGAAAAUUUGAUUGCAAAACAUAUUAUGUGCUCCCUCUUAGCAAUACCACGAUCUCCCCAACCAACUGAACAACUGUAGCCACAAUCACUCGGUCGCAUUGGUCAGCUUCUUCUUAGCAGGUCUCACAUGCUUAUGGUCACUCAUGUCCCUAGUGAUAUAGACGAAAUAAAUCUUCAACAAUAUUUGGAAUUUUAUUAUAUAUAAAUAAACUAUAAACCAUUCACUAAACAAUGUAUAGCACAUGUUAUGUUACUUAUGACUCACGUGUCAGUUUUUUUUGAGAAAAAGUACGCCAGCUCUUUAAUGUGAAUGGACAUGAUAAUGAGACUUUACUGAUUCCCAGCUUGCUGUGAUAUUCACUGCUUAUUGAAUAAUAUUUCGAUAUUUGCAAAAUAUAAUGUUAGACAGAAGGAACACAUGAUGACUUGCAAUACAUAGUCCCAAUAAUCAUAUAUGAAGCAAAUGAAACUGAUAUUUGUGUUUUAUUGAAAUGAAAAUGACAUUAAGGGAAUAUACUUCUAAUUUGUGCAAUACCACGAUCACCCUCAACGAACUAAACAGCGGUAGCCACAAUCACUUAGUCGUAUCGGUCGGCUUCUUCCGAGCAGCUUUGACAUGCUUAUGCUCAUUCAUGUCACCACCAUCAUCUAGUAUCUCUCUCACAGCAUCAGGGGACACAUAGUUCCAAUCAUAACUUGUAUGAGUAGUUGCCGCAAAUGCUCGGAAUUUGUCGAAUCCUUCGUUGAUUGCCAACUUCAGUUCACUAUGGUGCUCUUCGCAUCGCAUAUGGUUCAUCAAACAACCUUUCAUUUCAUCAUUCAUUACUGUAUCCAACUCCUCAGCUUUCAGCUUCCUUUUAUGACUCAGCUUCAAGUACUUGUUCUUUUGGGAGAACGCUUUGUUCACUCUAAUGUUAAGAUCAGCCAAAAUUGCCUCGUCUUCAACACAUUUCUCAUGCCAUGAAUUGAUCAGUCUGGAAUUAUAAUCCAGCUUGCCACUGACUGCAUGUAUUGCCUCUAAUGGAUCAUCGGAGUCCCCCUCACUCCCAAAUGAUGUUGAAAAAGGAAGGGGUCGGUGAGUACAAUGUGGAAAUAGAACCUGUGACUCCAAUUUGUCAUCUUCGAUUGUGUUGUUGGCGCCUGAAGAGGUUGACAUGCUUGAAUAAUCCUCUUUGUUUUGGGAGGAUGAGGAUUGCAUAUGCAAUUUCGUUUGAGAAAGGGAACAUAGGUUUAUAGACCAACAUAGCAAAGCUUGUGUGUAGUCAACAUAUGUACUUGUUUUCAAUUUUUAAAAAAAGAGGUGUCAGGUUUUGCUUUUCAAGCAUGUCAACCUCACACUCUCCUUACACCACUGAUAGUGGUUGAAAGAAACUCAAUGGAAGUGACAUCUAGUUAGUGAACUCAACCAAACUAGUUAGGAUUAAACUUAGAUUGUAUCAGACCAAAAAUUAAUUUAUACAUUGUCAACCAAAUAUUUUUUGGCGGGAACCCUUUUAUUGGUAUUACUAUCACCCCUUUCAUAGAAAUACUCCUUCCACACAAGACUCACUCCUCCACCGAAUCUGUCUCCAUCUACUGAAACUCUCUCCUCCAUAGAAACUCACUCCCCCCGUAGAAUGGAUUUACUAACCAAGUUUGAUGUGAGCAUAAUAAACACCCCUCCAAACAAAGACCGUCUUCGAAACGCAAGUGAGUCACCAGACAAGCAAUGUCACAUUCCUAGAUAGAAUGACCAUUUUGUUGGAAGUUUUGAGUCUGAAAGAGUUCUUGCUUUUUGGAAGGAGAGGCAUCUUCAACUUGGUGAUGAAAUCCAAAGGGCAAGGGCACGUUUGAAAUUUGUUGAAGGCCAAAUUGAAGAUGACAAAAGGCAGGCCAAUCUGGAUAGGGCGAAGUUGCAGCGCAUGAAGCGUAGACACAAACAACUUCGGAGUGUAGCUAUUCAAAAAUACAAGAACUCAUCUAAUGCAAUAGAGUCAAAGAAGCGUGUGAUGCAAGCUGGAUUCGACUACUUCUGAUCCUAUGCAAAACUCGUCGUACCCGGGUUUGAUUGGUCAUCUAUUACCGUUUCCGACGUUAACAAAUAUACUCAGCAAGGGAAUUAACCAUUUUGGUUCUCGUGUUUGAGCAGAGGCAAAUCAGUGGAAUUGGAAUUUUUGUUAAACUCUGCUUCAAACCUAUUUUAAUGCUUACUACUAUGGAAGAUUUCAACCUUAAUAUUUUGAUGUCUUUAAUUACGAUAACACAAGACGCAAAGAGCCCAUCUACUUCAGUCAUGUGUUGCUGCCAUGUCCAUUUUUUUUUUAUCACGUAUCAGAUUUGGACAUGGUUGCAUCAUAUGCAAUGUUGCCUUUAUUUAUUAUAUGUUAGGAGAGUUUAUGGAAAAGCAUUUGUGAGUGCGUUUGUGACAAGGUUAUGGAAUUAUUAUGUACCAUUUAUAUAUUAAUUUUUGUACUGGUUCAUCCCCUACUAUUUCUUUCUUUCUUUAUAUUAUAUAUUUGUGGAAUCCCUCUCAAAGUUAACAUAUACUGUGAAAAAAAUGCAGACUGAAUAUAUAAUCACUCAUAUAGACUAGGACAAAUAUUCAUUAAUAUUUUAAAAUUGCUUCACUUGUGUGAGGUUUUUCAGAAAAAGUAUGGCAUUAUUUUAUGUGAUUGGACAUGAUAGAAAAUAUAUUACUGAUUCCCAAUGCGGCGUCAUAUGGACAACUUAUUGAAUACCUCUGACGUGUUAAAAGCUCUAGGUGCAGUUGUAUGUGGACAACUUAUUGAAUACCUCUGACGUGUUCAAAACUCUAGGUGCAGUUGCAUGUGGACAACUUAUUGAAUACUUCUGAGGUGUUGAAAGGUCUAGGCGUAGUUGCAAUGAUGGCUUCAAAGCAUGUGCAAUUAUUAUAUAUGUAUAUUAUUAUAAGCCACAUAUUAUUUUAUAUAGGGAAACUAAUUCUUGUAUUAUUACAAAUUAUAUAAUGAAUAUUAAGGAAAUAUACUUGUUAAAGUGAAUUAGGGUUAAGAGGAAAGUGAGUUAUGUAAAAAUAAUUUAGAUUUUUUCAUUGCGAAACGGAUGAUUUAUAGGUUCCUCUAGUUUUAUAACGUCACAAGGAGGCCGGAGUAAUUUUCGGGGCAUUUUUAGGAUUUUCCUACUAUUUAUUACCUAUUUUCACAGAUUGUUGCACUAAAAAAGCCAAAAUAAUUGUAAGAGGACACCUGGCGCGAUCUCAGCCCGUCACCUUUCACCACUUGCACAAGUGUACGUAAAUCAACAUGGCCACAUCCUCGCCUUUUACCAUAAAUUAUUAUUUUAUUACUUUUCCUUAGAAAAUUCAUAACUAAAUACACAAAAAUUAAAAAAAUGAUCCGAAAAUUGCUACGAACUCAUUGACACUCCAUCUCCCUUGCUGAAUUCUCCGAUUCAUUGUUAUGCAUUUUAAAAAAUUAUUCCGAACAUUAACGGGAAAUGUCCGUUGAAGUAGGUUAUUGAAGUUUAAGUUAACAAACAUAUAUACUUAGAGUUAAGAGGAAAGUGAGUUAUGUAAAAUUAAUUUAGAUUUUUUCAUUGCGAAAUGGAUGAUUUAUAGGUUCUCCUAGUUUUAUAACGUCACAAGGAGGCCGGAGUAAUUUUCGGGGCAUUUUUAAGAUUUUCCUACUAUUUAUUACCUAUUUUCACAGAUUUUUGCACUAAAAAAGCCAAAAUAAUUGCAAGAGGACACCUGGAGCGAUCUCAGCCCGUCACCUUUCACCACUUGCACAAGUGUAUGUAAAUCAACAUGGCCACAUCCUCGCCUUUUACCCUAAAUUAUUAUUUUAUUACUUUUCCUUAGAAAAUUCAUAACUAAAUACACAAAAAUUAGAAAAAUGAUCCGAAAAUUGCUACGAACUCAUUGACACUCCAUCUCCAUUGCUGAAUUCUCCGAUUCAUUGUUAUGCAUUUUAAAAAAUUAUUCCGAACAUUAACGGGAGAUGCUUGUUGAAGUAGGUUAUUGAAGUUUAAGUUAACAAACAUAUAUACUUAGGGUUAAGAGGAAAGUGAGUUAUGUAAAAUUAAUUUAGAUUUUUUCAUUGCGAAACGGAUGAUUUAUAGGUUCUCCUAGUUUUAUAACGUCACAAGGAGGCCGGAGUAAUUUUCGAGGCAUUUUUAGGAUUUUUCUACUAUUUAUUACCUAUUUUCACAGAUUUUUGCACUAAAAAAGCCAAAAUAAUUGCAAGAGGACACCUGACGCGAUCUCAGCCCGUCACCUUUCACCACUUGCACAAGUGUACGUCAGUCAACAUGGCCACCUCCUUGCAUUUUACCCUAAAUUAUUAUUUUAUUACUUUUUCUUGGAAAAUUCAGAACUAAAUACACAAAAAUUCUAAUAAUGUUCCGAAAAUUGUUACGAACUUAUUGAGAUUUCAGCUUCCUACUGAAUUCCCUGUGUCAUGGUUAUGCUACAUUAGUAUUUUAUUAUUAUUUAUCCUAAAUUAAUUUAAUUAUUAUGAUAUUACUUUUUAGGCUGUCCAUGUGUUAAUUAUAUUUACUCCAACUUUUUUAUUAAUUUUUAUUUUCCGUGCGAAUAGGCCAUUUCUGGUGCUAAUCGGUUUCUCUCUUCUUCAAUUUGUUAAUUUUUUAAUUUUUUAGGUUGAAGGGAUGUUUUGAAAAAUAAAAUGAAAAUAUACAAGUCAUCCAUUGUACAACAUCAGGAAAAAAUUAUUCAACGUCAUUCACUGUUCAAGUUUUGCUUAAGAAACGUGUAACCAAAUCAUUUGGGAUAUGCUAAGUGGGAAAAUGUCAUUCCCAAGCACUGGUGAAAAGACACCUAUUUACUCCAUGCAUGACCUUUCGUUUACCAAAUAUGAAGAUUGCAGUUGUGCAAAAUAUCUGUGUCAGUAAAAUGUCAUUCCUAGCCGUCUAUGAUGUCAGUAAUAAUUCCGCUAUAUAAUAUAUAUUAUAUAAAUACAUUUAUAUAUAAAACGGUUUAUGACAGCACAAACACCAGACAAAAUAGAUUAAAACUCAACAUUUAGACAACAUUUGUACAACGUAGCCAGCCAACCUAGAACUGAAGAGAAGCAAGUCCACAAUGCAUAAAAAUCGUAAAAACAUACUACAACUAAUUAAAAGGGUAUGGAUUCCCUCGCACAACAUACGCACGCAUCACCUUGAACCAAAAAAUACUCUCACGGUGCCAUUUGCAUCGAUUGCAACAAGUCCAGAAGGCAGGAUUUAUCUUUUCUUCAUUAGGCCAGCCUUGAAUAACAAAAUACCAUUCAUUGUUGUUACAAGCGCUGCAGUGAUUGAACUUAAUCUUCCCAUAGUCAAACAUAUCUAGGAUAUGUCUUGCAACUAUUGGUCGGCUUAAUCUUCGUGUCAAAGCAUCCCUGGUUCCUUUCAUAUCAAUGUUGUUACGUUGAUUCAAAGAACACAAGAAUUCUAAUGCAUCCUCUUUUGACUGACCAAUUCCGGACAUACCAAGUAGUCCAACUACAUAUGCCGCUUCCAUAUGGCCUACCGUGGCUGCAAUGCGCAUCCCAUACAACGCUUCCACGUUACCCUGCCUGAAAAAAACUUCGAAUGCUUCUCUAAAUAUCGACUCAGGGUUAUCGCAAGCCCUGCAUUGUUGCAAGAAAUGCUGGACCGCAGGUCUGGCACGGUACCAGCUAGGAUGGUCUGGGUACUUUGCCAUUGAAAUGGUGUUCCACACUUGUGGACUGUUUGCCAAAGUAUGGAACAAUGGGCACACAGAUGCCAUACGGAAGAGAUCUUCCGAUGAUUGGGUUGCCACGUAUAACAUUACUUUAAACCAAGCUAACUCCGGGAUGAAGGCUUGGGGCAUAUCCAAAUGGAGAUGCUUCCUUCUCUUUCCUCCGACUGUAGUGAAAUGUUUCGAAUUCAUUGAAAUAUUUUUGGAAUGGAACGAUUUGAGGAGUGGCAAAGGGGAGAAAUGAGAAUAUUGGGGUACACGUUUUGUUGUAGUCUCUAUUUAUAGUGUUUUGAAAAGGUGUUUUCAGUUGGGGUUUUUCCAAGUUGACCGUUUUUAAAGAAACUGAACCCAACACCCUAAAACUGAAGACAAAAGAAGGGAAAACGUCAUAACAUUGCAUAAAGAGUCAGACAGUCAAAAAGUCAAUUAAUAACCUAUUUGCAUAGCCAUUUUUGGGAUUUUCCCGCUAUCAAAUUCAUUGAUACAAAUGUGAUGGAUUACUGACUAGUGACAGAAGGUCCCAUUAUAUACUUUUUCAUUUUCCCACACCCAACUACCCCUAGUAAUGUUAUUAAAAUGGAACCAAUAAUGAUGGAUUCUUAUCCAACUAGUUGCCUUAAUGAAAUAUAAAUAAAAUAAUAAAUUUCAAGCAGUGUCCCCUUAAUUUUCAGAUUAAUAUUUGGUAGUGAAAUAUUAUAUUGCUUUUCGGGGUAAAAGAUGUCACAAUUCUGACGGUACAGGUGUCCAGAUCGUGACCAACCCACCCACACACAGAAAAGAAGGAUAUAAUUCAAUUUGGGCAGAGAUGAGAAAGAGCGGAAUGAGAAGUUUAGGGUUAUGAGUGAAGGGGUAUGACUGAGAACUAUGAGUGAGAAGGUAUGAGUCCGAAGAGGUUUCAGUGAGAAGAGGUACAACUGAGAAGAUUCAACAUGUCUUCGUCUUCAUCUCCCGCUCAAACAAAGAGGUGUCAGUAUUGUGGAGCUACAAUGGUGCUUCGGGUUUCAAAAUCAGACAAAAAUCGAGGGAAGCCAUUUUGGAAGUGUCUAACCUCCUAUGUAAGUUUUCAUUUCAAGAAUAUGUAUGUGGGUCAAAAAAAAAAACCUAUGUCUAACUCUGACAGAAUUAUUUUGCAUAUAUGAUGCCUGCAAUUAGGGAGCCACCAGUUACAAUGGAUUCGAAUGGGUUGAUGUAACCUCCGCUGAAGCAGAACAUCAAGAUGACACGAAUGAUGCUACAGUGCUGAAUAUGCUGAAGUCCAUUAAGGACUUGGUAUUAGUUUUAUUAGUUGUAUCAAUUGUCAUAUUAUUUGUUCUUUUAAUGAUCAAUUAAGUGCACGGUUUCAAAGAUUGUGAAAGUUCUCCCUAAAAAGACAUGUUGCACGCACCACCAAUGAGUUUUCAAACCCAUUUUAUAAUAUUUGUGCUUGAAAUAGGUGGAUUGGCAUUGAAUUUAAACAAAAGCAUUUAUUUGUUUGAAACCCAGCAAAAACUUUCCAAGACUUAUUUUAAAAAAAGAAAAUCAUACGAAGACGAUAAAAUCACAAUACAGGGCCAAUACGAUGCAAUAACAAGACAAUACAUUUUUUUUAAAAAUUGCAUAAUUAUUUAGUGUAUAUAGAUUGUUUAUUUGCGUAUACUUAAAGUUUAUUGAUUGUUUACUGCAUAUAAAUCGCACGAUAUUGAAUGUUUAUUGAAGGUUUAUUGAUAUUUUACUGCAUGUAUUUCGCAUGUUAUUGCUCUGAUAUUGAAUGUUUAUUGAAAGUUUAUUGAUUGUUUACAUGUUUAUUGAAGGUUUAUUGAUUAUUAAAUCCAUGUAUUUCGCAUGUUAUUGAACCGAUAUUGAAUGUUUAUUGAUUGUUUACAUGUUUAUUGAUUGUUAACUGCAUGUAUUUCGCAUGUUAUUGAACCGAUAUUGAAUGGUUAUUGAAGGUUUAUUGAUUGUUUGCUGCAUGUAUAUCGAAUGUUAUUGCUCCAAUAUUGGAUGUUUAUUGGGGGCACAAGUACCACUCAAGUAAGAUUUAAGGGGGGAAACGGACCUUAUUCUUUCUUUUAGUAGGAAGAACAACUGUUAAGUUUAAUUUCCUAUUCAAUACGACUUCCUUAUGGUUGGUGUAAUUGGGGACUGAUGUAUAUUGCAUGUCUAUUGUGUGUAUAUUGCAUGUCUAUUGUAUGUAUAUUGCAUAUCUAUUGUGUGUAUAUUGUUUGUCUGUUAUGUGUAUAUUGCUUGUCUGUUGCCUGUGUAUUGUUAUUUAUUUCCUUCGUAAACAAUAAACAAUCAAUACACAUACAAUAAAUGUAAGAUAUACACGCAAUAGAGAAGCAAUAUAGACGCAACAGACAUGCAAUAUAGAUGCACCAAUAUACAUUACUUUUAUGCUACUGAGCUGCCCAAAACCAAGAAAAAAAAAUCAACGAAUUUUUUAACCGAUUAUAAAGGAGAGAGGGAUUCAAACCCGAGGGGCGGUACGGAACCAAUAGGGAGUUUUUAUAGCAUUGCACCUGGAGAUAUUUUUUCAUGUAUUUCUAUAAAGAGGGCAUGAUUGAAUAAAACAUUGGAGGUGAGGCCAUAGCCGCUGAUUAUGUACCUUAUUAAGAUGCAACCCAUUGCGAUUAAUGGUGGCUUGCAUAAACGAUGACAUAUCACUUUGCAAUGAUGUAAUACACUUAAAAAGCCAUCUUCAAAUCCCAAUUCACAUAUGCAGUCUUUAAAUCCCAAUUCAAUGCAGUUUGGUUAAGGUUAUGUAAAUGUCGUGAAGGAGUUAGGCUAAUAUUACACAGAAGUUUGUUUCAUUAAAUAAAAAAAUACUUUACGGAACCAUAGGCACAUUCUAUGUAUGGGAAUGACAUGUGUCUAACUUCAAAAACUCAUCUGCCUAUCCAUUUAGAUUGCCUACGUGCAAUAGAUUUACAGAUCCAUUUACUUUUCUCCUCACCAAGCCGUAGCAUCUCCAUUUCAGUUUCUUCAUUUUUCUGUCUAUGCUCUGCAUCCAACUCCAUAUACAUUUAGGACAAUAUCAGAAUAAAUGUAGCGUAGUAUCACACUAAUCAAAAUGAAAGCAUGCAUCCGCUAUAAUAUUUGCCACUAUUUUGGUUCUAAUUGUUAUUGUCCAAUAACUUAAACCUCAAUUUAUGUACAAAAAUACACUAAGAUUGAGAAAGACGAAGAAGAAUAGAGGAGUAGAGGUAGAAUUCGAAAAGGACCCGUAUGUCUCUAUUGUGUAUUUACAUGAGUUUGAAAUUGGACAUUCGCAAAACCUAUUUAAUCAUCAUGUACCUAAACCAAGUUCAACCCAUAUCAUGGCAUGUAAGCAUCUCCCCGUGUUAUCUCUGCAGCCAAUUUCAACCCAAAAAAAGGGCCUGUUCUGCGAGGUGCAAGUAGCUAACGGAAUCUCAGCGCUCAAAAGCUCAAUGUACUUCAACACGAACAUGCCACAAUCGCCUCUGAAGCAAAACAAGAACUCGAUCAAUUCAACUAAUGACAUUCUAACGUAAUUGACAAUUUAAAGUAAUAAAUUUAAAUAAAAAGUUGUGCUUACUGAUUAGACUGUUGUGGAACAUCCACACGCUCUAUUGGUCAUGGACACCACCAAUCUCGGCUGCAAUUGUUUGCGUAAACACCUUCUUCAUAAAAUUCGAUGGUGUUGAGAAGAUUUGGAAUCGUAAUUGAAAGCGGGGCGAGUUCUUCCUUUAAGAUCUCAUCUGGAAUAAGUGAAACCUUUGAAUCGUACACAUUGAUUUCACACAAAACCAGAUCAAUCAUUAUAGCCACCCAGUGCUUGUACUUCGUCAACAUACAAGGGGCAUACACCUUAUAUGCUUUCUGCCAAUCCAUCCCACACGCCGGAACCUUGCCAUUUACAACGUUCAGUAAACUGUUUCUAAUUUUCCACCCAACCUGCUCUAUUUUUUUAAUUAUCCGUAAAGCAAGUACGAAUGUGAUUCUGUCAAAUAGAAAACAAUCAAUGGUUAAACACCUCCACAAAGCAAGUAUGGAUAAUUUGUAAUUAUUAACAGCACUUGGUCAAAGCCCAUGACAUACCAUAAAAAAUACAUCGGUCGUUGUCCAGUCUGAUAUUUCUACUUCCUCCAACUCUUGUUGUCGCUUCCGGAUGAGAUACAACCCCAAAUCAAUGUGCUGCAACAUGUUUUUCUUGUCAAUCUCAUAAUCUAUGUACAUUAAAACAAAUGCAUAAUCAAUUAAACUUACAUCUCCUUUUAGCCAACCAUCAGCUUUGACGAGGGAAGCGAAGAAUUCAAUAUCAGCUUUCACGUUGCCAAAUUGCAUCACCAAACUAUGAAUAUAAAAAAGUUUUAGAACACAACAAUUAAAAAAUAUAUACACUCAUGCCUUCUAUCUCAAAAAACAAGGGACUUACUUUGGGUUAUGGCGCCAUUUCCAACAAAGUUUUAGCAAUUUCACCAGAUCAUCAUGCGGAAUCGCCUUCAUUGGGUCUAACGUCUGAAGUCCGGUUGUCUCUGCCAGAGUUUUUGGAACCAAUUCACUACCUUCAAUGAUCUUCCACAUAGGAAUGAUCCUCUUCCUUUUCCGUAAUUGGACCCCUUGUUCUACAGCUUUACCUUUAUCAUUCAACCAAACGUUCAACUGAGAUAGCACAGCUGUAGGUUGAUCCAAAUCAAUGUCCCCGAGAGUAAACUCAACCUUUGUCCCCUCCGUGCUCUCGCCAAUGUCAUCGCCAAGCAACAUAACUUCAUUAUCUUCUUUCUCACAUUGGUUUCUUUGCACUUCCUUUUCCUCACUUCUUUGUCUUUUCACUUCCUUGCCCUCCCUUCUUUUUCUUUGCGGAUCCUCUCCCUCACUGCUUUUUCUUUGCAGUUCCUCUCCCUUACUGCUUUUUCUUUUCACUUCCUCUCCCUCACUGCUCUUUCUUUGCGCUUCCUCUCCCUUGCUGCUUUUUAUUUUCACUUGCUCUCCUUCACUUCUUUUCCUUUGAGCUUCCUCUACCUCACUUGGUUUUCCUUGCACUUCACCCCCUUCAAUCCCCUCCUCUUCCUUUUCCUCUCCCUCAUUUCUAUUACUUGGCCCUUCACCCCCUUCAAUCCCUUCAUCUUCCUUUUCCUCUCCCUCAUUUCUGUUACUUGGCCCUUCAUCCCAUUGAAUGUCAUCCAUUUCCUCACUUCCCUUAAAUAGAUGUGAGAUGACACAACGAUUCGUCCUCUCUUUCAGUAAAGCUAGGUCCCUCCUUACUUCCUUCUCAAACUGAGGACCUAAACAGUGGUCCAAAAGUUUUUCCAUCCGUAUGACCUUUAACUCAAGGACGUCUUUUUCCCGCUUUACUUGAAACAACUCGGACCUCAACAAGCUUACCACCUUGUUCAACUCAUCAAGGUUAGCAUAUGAAGAAGGAAUUGACUCUGCCGAGACAACAGCAGGGCGAUCAUGUGGCCAACUCCAAUAUGGUUGUCUCAUUUCCUCUUCACUCGGACAUAGCGCCCGCAACUGAACUGACUGUUUCAGAAUACAGACAAGAGUCAUAUUCAAUCAUUCUACUUCAUAAUUUCAUUGAAUCUUAUAAAUAGUUCUAAGGGCUGCAAACCAAACCUCUUUGCUCUGUUAAAAAUAAUUGUUCAACUUUCUCAUCUCGGGAACAGACGUAGUAGUUCUCCAUCGCAAAAUACGCGGGACAGCUGUCGGAUCAACAACCUUGCAGUAAUUCAGGUCUGCCAUUCUAGGAAUUAAUUCAUAUACCCAAAUCUACACAAUUUACAGGACAAAAGUCAUUAUUUAAGUUUUAAAAUCCACAAAACUAAUUGACAUGAACAUUAUUACCAUGUACCUGGAAAGCAUACGUGAAACCUUUAAAACUCCAUCCACUCCUUUGUGCUUCACCAUGCUUAUCCUUCUUGCCCUUCUCAUUUCUCCGGCUUGUUCCCGUUACCUUACUUUUCCCCUUCCCUCUUCCUUCUUCUUUUUCAAAGCUUUUCACAUACUUUGUUGGUGCAGAAAAUAGACUGUCUUGGGUUUUGUCAAAGGACACUGAACCCCACAGAUACCUGUUGAACGCAUCCAAGUCCUCUACAAGGGUCAGGUAAUUUAGAUUGAUGUUCAAAUGUUUGUCCCUUCCCAAAACCACUAACUCAGCAAAGUAAACAAGAGCUAGCUUGUAGAUGUCAUCUUCCUCUGUGCACCUCAGAAAUGCUUCUUCUAAGGCAUUACAUGUAAUUCCUUCAUCUAUAAAAUAUCUUUUCUGAAGUCUAAUUUCAUCACUCUUUCCACUGGAAACUUCAGGCACUUCCCCAAAACGAAGCCCUGUGAUCAAACAGAAAUCCUGACGAGUGAACUGAGCAACGUCACACCCUAUUAAGAAACUCAGUCCAUCCAAGUCUUUCACACCCUGCCCCGCUACUCUACGCAACACAACCCUAUGCACAAUCUGCCCACUAAACUGAAUCUUAUCUAUAUUCAGAAGAUGGCCAAAGCAUGAUGUCUUGAAUUGUUCUAAUUGUUCCGCACUCAACUUUGCUCGAAUUGCAGCUAGAGAUGAAUUUGCAUGUGAGCAGUUGUUCACCCGUGACGAAUAUACCUCUGACUCUGGCCAUACCAGCUCCACGUUGGAUCCCAUUUCCUGAAAUACAAGAUGAAAUAACGUGAACACAUAUACUACCACGUAUUUGCACAAUCACAUUGGUAUUUACACAACUAGUCAACCAGGCACAUUACAAAUUUUACAAAGUACAUGAGCAUAGGGAUUACUGAUCACAGGCUUUAACAUCAUCAGAGCAAUAUGACAAAUUUUGUGCAAAUACCUGUUAAUGCAAUGAUUAUGUGAAUUACAAACAAUUUCAUGUGUUUUAUUUGUGGAUCCAAACUCUAAUCAAUGGUUGUUGCAUGAGUGAGUGUGAAUGCAAUCUAGGCAAGUUCUGCACUUCACACACAUGACAAUUAUUGUCAUCUCAUACACAAUACAAAAUAAAUAAAUCAGAAAUAUAGUGGAAGGAAGCAAAGCAAAGCAUCUAUUCUGCUAUCUGCUUGCUAAGCAAUUGCCACAUCCUUCUUUCUUUCUAGCUUUUUCUUCAGUCAGCCACAAUCGUCAUAGAUCAACCUUUAUUUCAAAUGCUUUGCACUUUUAUUCAUGAGUUUAUUAUUAUCUGUUCUCAUUUCUCAUAGGCAAAUUUAGUAACAAAUGAAAUAAUAUUUAUUUCAAAAAAUAUAUAAAUUCUAGCGCCAGAGAGGUACUCUGCACUCUGCACUGCUUCAAAUGUGGAAGGUUUUGAGGGCCUCCUCCAAUUCAACACCAUUAUCUUAUUCAUAUCAUUACUAACAUGUUAUUGAGAUGUUAUUGACAUGUGAUUCACUUGAUUUUCAUUCGUUUUUUAACUUAUACCCAAGCAAAAAUUAACAUGCAAUUGAAGCACAAAGAAGAGAUGCCAAAUCCAACAACAUUGAUGGUACAAAUUGGGGAAAACCGUUACUCUAACCCUAAACUCAAAUUCCAUAAAUUACUCAUCAAAUGCUUUGCACUUCUAUUCAUGAGUUUAUUAUUAUUAUCUGUUCUCAUGUUUCUCAGGCAAAUUUAGUAACAAAGGAAAUCAUAUUUAUUUCAAAAAAUAUAUAUAUUCUAGCGCCAGAGAGAUAAUCUGCACUAUGCACUGCUUCAAAUGUGGAAGGUUUUGAGGGCCUCCUCCAAUUCAACACCAUUAUCUUAUUCACAUCAUUAUUGACAUGUUAUUCACUUGUUAUUGACUUGAUUUUCAUUCCUUUUUUAACAUAUACCCAAGCAAAAAUUAACAUGCAACUGAAGCACAAAGAAGAGAUGCCAAAUCCAACAAAAUUGAUGGUACAAAUUGGGGAAAACCAUUACUCUAACCCUAAACUCAAAUUCCAUAAAUUACUCACCAAAUGCUGGUUAUUGAACAAUCGCAAGGUGUCUGUGCGGGGUCUUUGUGUUGCUUUGCUCCACAAAUGGAACCUACCACUUCCAACGAAUACGACUUCUCUCCUUCCCCUUUCACUGCUUCGCCCCUUCACUGUUUCGGAAUCCACACCUUUGCCUCUUCUACUCAAAAUAAAUACUUUUUCAGGGUCUGGAGAACGGAGUGGCUUCAACCGUUGCCUUCAACCGUUUCUCAGAGCUAUGGGUUUUAGAGAGAUGAGUUGUUUCUGUUCAAACUUCGAACUUGCCUCUUCUUCUUCUUUUUCAGAUGUGCUUGCCUCUUCUUCUUUUUCGGACGUGCUGGAUAUUCAAUUCGGGUUUGGGUUCCACACCUACCCGAUUUUAAAACUUUAUCUCAAUUCUCCCCAGCCCUUGAAUUGAUCUGAUGGCUAUUGUUGAAGGAAAAUUGUGAUCUUCCUAAUAUAAUUUCACCACCACUAAUUAAAUAAUGGGGUUUUAUUAUUUUAGGUUCGACCCAUUCGAGACGCAAGUCUCUUAAUUACAAUCCCUUGCUUCAAGGGAAAACCCUUUGAUUCCAUCAUAAAGAAACAGAACAUGUGUGUUUGAUUUUGCAGCUGCUCCCAAGUCCAACCUCAGGAUGCCUACGUAUCCCUUGCGGGAAUCAAGCCACUCGUAGUUCAAAGAUUCAUGAUGAAUAAAUGACUCAUCGCAAAACGAAGAAUUUGAAUGAGUUUGAUUGAGGAGUGUUUGAGUGAAUUUAGCUGAAUAAACCAGGGAUUCGAUAUGGAAAUAUGUUUGGGAUGGUUGCAUCUAGAUUGAAUCUCUAGAUUGCCUACGUACCCUUUUAAGGGAUCAAACCAACGUAGUUCGAAAAAUUUAGAAAUUAAUGGGUAAGUGUGGCCCAAUAAUUUAGAGUUGGUGUCUUUGAGACGAUUUGAAGAUUUUCAUAGGUAGAUGACCUAUGGGGAAAUUUUGAAAUUAAUGGAUAAGUGUGGCCCAUUAAUUGAGAAUUUGUGUUUGAGAUAUUUGAAUUUAAUCUCAUUGGAAUUUUCAUGGGUAGAUGACCCAUGGGAAAAUUUGGAUGGUUUUGUAAGACUUUUUUUCUUUUUGUCAAUGUCCCAGAAAAUUAAUGAGCAAUUUUGAUUAACCCACUAAUUUUCUAAAGUUGACAUUUGCACUUGGACCCAAAUAUGGCUACAAGGAUUUUUUUUUUAAUUAAUCCAUUAACCAUAUGAUAGGGAAUUUGGGCCUUAGGAAAUUUAAUGGGUAAUUAUUUGAGUUACCCAUUAAUUAUAUGGGCUUCUGAGAUUCAAUGGAUAAUUAUUCUCUGACAGCCCAUAAUUCUAUUUUGGGCUUUUGAUGUUUGUUGAUAGCUAGCCCAUGAGCAUGGAGCCCCAAAAAAAACUUUGGUCCAGCAGGCGAUUAGCUAUCCAACUCUUUGCAGAGUUUGUUUCUAAGUAAAAUCAGACCUUGCAAUCCCAUCUUUAUCUGGAAUACUUGUGAUCAGUCCGAAUUACAAGCAAACACUGUCACUACUACAAAAAAGCAAAAAGACGACGGUAAAUCACCGUCGUGUAUUUGGUUUUUCAAUGGUCGUGGAAUCCACCGUCAUCUUUUCCCUCAUAAACCACGACGCUAAAUAACCGUCGUUGUUAAACUAUACAACGUCAUCAAAAAAUACAAAACGACGUCUUUGUACUGCAAAAAGAUCUAAAAAAAGCAAUCGAGGAUGAUAAUAGACGACCAAUUCUCUAAAAAGACCGUCGUUAAAAAGGGAAAAUAUGACACAUAUUAAGAGAACAAGGCCGCAAGAUAGACAUACAACGACGACAAUAAAAAUACGCCGACGUUAAAUAUAAUUUUCACGACAAUAAAAAAUAGGACGUCUUUAAAUACAUUAGAAGACGACGUUAUUGAUACCUACUACGUCGCACAUAUAAACACAACCGUCGUACAAUUAAUUUUCCACUUCGAUUUUUCGAUAAAAGAUGACGUGGAAAUAGUUGUCAGUGUCAUUAUUUACGACGUAUGUGUUUCUAUAGUAGACGUUGAAAAACUAAACAACGUCAGUUACAAAUAUAUGAGAGUCGUAUUAAAAAAUUUAUACGUCCUAUUUUCAGAAACAAACAACGACGAUAAAUAUUAGACGUUGUUAAAUACAACAACGUCGGAAAACAAUAAAAACAGACGUGUUUAGUCUGCUAAAGUUCUAGAAAAUAGUCGAGGAUGAGAAUAGACGACCAACUCAAAAAAAUCACCGUCGUUAAAAAAGAAAAAUAUGACACAUAUUAAAAGAACAAGGCCGCAAGAUAUACAUACAACGACGACAACCAACGACCAUAAAUAUUAGACGUUGUUAAAUACAACAACGUCGGAAAACAAUAAAAACAGACGUGUUUAGUCUGCUAAAGUUCUACAACGUCUCUUAUUUACAAAAAACCGUCGUGAAAUAAAUUUUCCACUUCGAUUUUUCUAAAAAAGAUGACGUGGAAAUAGUUGUCAGUGUCAUUAUUUACGACGUAUACAUUUAUAUAGUCGACGUUGUAUUUAUAUGUAUUCAUUACUCACGACGCACUUAAUAAUAUAGACGACGUUGAACUUCUAAACAACGUCGGUUCCAAAUAAAUGAGAGCCGUAUUACAGAACAUAUAGACGGCGUAGAUUAUGAUGGGAGCCGUAUUACAAAUAACGUCGUUUAAUUGUUAUUAGACGGCGGUUAUAAUGAAUUUCCGUCGGAAUUAAUUUCGUUCCUCUUCGUUUAUAAAAGAACUUGCGACGUGGAAAAUGUAUGAUGACGUCGUAUUUUUUAACGUUCAGAUUAUAUAUCUCGUUUUUUAGACGUCGGUAUUAUGGGAUUGGAGUCGUGUUAUUUUGAAUUACAUGGCGGUUCUUUAUCCUUCACCGACGUGAUAUCCUGAAUAAUUGCUUCACAAUAGCGUCGUGGUUCUUCAUUGUUACGUUGCUUUAAGACGUCGGUAAAUAUGCUGAGAUUCACAAUAACGUCGUGUUUUAUUUGAACGUAGAAAGUGAAGAAAUCACAUUACAAUAUAUUACAAAAUUAAUGUCAUACACUGCCAAUUACAUAAGCAUCAUUCAAUCCAUAUAUCUUCACACCCAUCUCGAAUAUUUUGACCGCCUAACUCACCUACCAGUUCAUCAAAUGUGUCAACAUUUGGCAUCCCUCUAGUAAAUGGCUCACACUCAAUUAUCACAUCACCUAAUACUUCAUCACCAAUAACAUCAUUAUAUUCUCUACUAGGCAUUGAUAACACUACCGACCAACCACGAUGCAUCGGGUCGUCAACAAAAAAUAUUUGUUUGACUUGAGAAGCCAAAACAAAUUGGUCAUUCCUAUGUCUAAUUUUACUCAAAUCUACAAGGGUAAAUCCAAGUUCGACUACAAGACCAGAACUAUCUAUCCAAUCACACCUAAAGACUGGGAUUGUAAACUUUUGGUAGUCAAGGUCCCAAAUUUCUUGAAUGACACCAUAGAAACCCAUAUUUGAGAGAAUUGGGUUUUUAUCCUUGGCACUAGCAACUUGCAUGGUAUGUGCAAGUAAAUAAACUCCACUAUUUUGAGUUGUCCGCACAUCAUCUUGUGCCUUGAUAUUGAAUUUAAUACCUUUAAUCAGAUAGCUCCUAUAUAAUGGCACUGACAUGUUUGGACCAGCUGCUAGCCACCUUAAAUUUUCUGAUACGCCAUGAUUGUCUUCCUCAAGUUCACUUUGAACCUGCAAAUUAAUCAUAUCUUAAUUCAUCCUAACAUAUAAAUAAGAAGAAAAUUAAAAGAGAAAUACGUUAUUCAACAACAUAUACCUUGAAGCGUAGCCAUUGAAUGAAAGUGCUAUUGUGCUUAUCCUGCAGCCACUUUGUUCUCUUUCUAAAUUUUGGAUAAGCAGUCUUGAUGUGGAUCAUAUGUUGCCUACAUGACACGAAAAAUUCAAGCAUUACGGUCCCAAAUAUAUAAGAUAAACAUAAGAAAUAAUUUUAAAUGGAAACUUAAAGAAUAAAACUCAUACGUAGUCGAUAUAAGGUAGGACUUCCUCCGUAUUCUCCAAGACAUAUAGAUGUGCUUGAUUCAACAGGUCCUGAUCAACUACGCUCACUGUGCAACCUGAUAAUGGCUUUGAAACUCCCAUCUUUGGCUUGAAGGCACUCCAACUGUACUAACAUCAGAUAAAUGCUGAGUACAAAACUCUACCGCUUCUUCAGCUAUAUACCGCUCAGCAAUGCAACCUUCGGGACGAGUACGAUUCUGAACAUACCCCUUCAGCACUUUCAUAUAUCUUUCAAACGGAUACAUCCACCUAAAAUAUACUGGCCCACAUAGACGAACUUCUCUGACAAGAUGUACUACUAGAUGAACCAUGAUAUCAAAGAAUGAAGGGGGAAAGUACUUCUCAAGCAAAGUUCAAAAAUGCUUCCACCCCAAAUUCAUAUGCCUUUCGAUCUUCUAUCCGAGUGCAUCCAUGACUUAUCCAUCUCCGACACUAUAACCUAUUAUCUAUAAUAAAGUGAAAAUACAGGCAAUGACCAUCACUAUAGCAGAUUAUACAAUGAUCUAAUCGCAAGUAAUAAACAACAGAGACGACGGGUUUUAAUCAAAAACAGACGUAUUUGGCAUAUAUAGACGACGGAUUUUCAACAGACGUCGUCUAUUAUACGUAAUACAAACGACGGUUUAUGAAAAAACCGUCGUGUAUAAGUAAUACAACGACGGUAGUUUAAAAACACCGUCGUGUAAUCGUCGUCGUACGCCUUAAAAUUCGUCGUGUCUCAGUUUAUUUUCAAGAACACAAAACCCAUUAAGAACACAACAUAUAUAUGAAACCAAGCAAGAAACCAACAUAUACAUGAAACCAAGCAUGAAAACAAUAAAUCCAUUCCCAAUUCAACAUAACAUAGGGUGAUUAAAAGAUACGACAAAAUUAAAUCCAUUCCCAAUUCAACAUAACAGAUAAUGUAAUCCAUGAACCCAUUAAACAGAAAAUCCAUGAACCCAUACCUAUAAGCAUUGGUGCACUUUGCACCUUCUCCAGAGCGAAAAAUGACAAGAUCAAAUAAAGGUGUCCUUUUGCUGGAAAUCAUUUGGAAGUUGGUGAUGUGUCUUUUUGUGUUGAUUUCCAGCAAAAGUACACCUUUAUUUGAUCUUGUCAUGAACCCAUUAAACAGAAAAUCCAUGAACCCAUACCUAUAAGCACAUUAUUAACAGAUCGCAAAGCAUAUACCUAAAACCCUUUAACAAAACAACCUAAUAUCAUUCAAUGAAUUUACAAGGGGAAGAUAGGGUUUGUACUUACAGGUUGGACGAGCUCACAGAUUCGACGAGCCUGGAGAGUGCAACUUUUAAUUAGAGCAGAAGUGAGAGAGCGAAAUGUUAUGUCGCGUGAAAUCUGAAAUUUUAGGUUUCAGGGAUCGAAGUAUAAGACUAAGAGCCAAAUCUAAAAAAAUUUAGGUCGCGCGAAAAUUUUUAGAGCGCGCGCGUUAUAAAACGUCGAAAGAAAAACCAAGGCGAAAGUUCUACAAGUACCGACGUAAAUUUAAUAUUCCACGACGGAAACUUCAUUUUUCGGAUUAAGAACGUAAGGCCGUUCAUUUUUCGGAUUAAUUUUAAAUUUAUUUUGAAUUUUUUAUAUAACGACGACUGAAAAACCACGUCGGUGUUAAGAAAUUAAAGACGUUGUAAAUUAUAUAAACCGACUUACAUAUUAAAAUAACGUCGUUUAAAGCGUAAACCAUGUCGUAUGUUUUACUGUACGACGUAAAAUAUGUAUUCCACGACCCAACCACCGUCGUUAAAAAUUAAUACACUAAACCCAUAAAAUUAAAUUAUACAAUUUAAAAAAUUAAGUUUAUAAAAGGUUUUAUGGUUUUAAAGCCUAACAUAUAACAUAGACUACCCAAAAAUUAUACUUUAAAAAUAAACCCCAAUAAAUAACAACACUAAUCUCUAAACCCUAGACUCUAAACCCUAAACCAUAAAAAUAGAAGUGAUUUUAUGACUCAUCAAAACAAUUUUGUUUUGGAUGGUCAUUUUAAAUUUUUGUUAUUCAAAAUGAAUUUUUUCAAGGUUUAUGUGGAAGAAAAUAUAUCAAUGACUUCAUAGGAGUUGACUUUUCAAUUUUCUGAUUUAUUUUAUAUUUAUUUUGAAUAUUUUGAUAUAAAAAUAAUAAAAUAUUCUUACCAUACAACAAACCACGUCGGUGUUAAAUAAAUUGUAGACGUUGUAAAUUGUAAUAGAUUACUAAGUCGUUAAAAUGACGUCGUUAAAAUGAGAAACCACGUCGGUGUUAAGAAAUUAAAAACGUUGUAAAUUAUAUAAACCGACUUACAUAUUAAAAUGACGUCGUUUAAAGCGUAAACCAUGUCGUAUGUUUUACUGUACGACGUAAAAUAUGUAUUCCACGACCCAAACACCGUCGUUAAAAAUUAAUACCCUAAACCCAUAAAACUAAAUUAUACAAUUUAAAAAAUUAAGUUUAUAAAAGGUUUUAUGGUUUUAAAGCCUAACAUAUACCCUAGACUACCCAAAAAUUAUACUUUAAAAAUAAACCCCAAUAAAUAACAACCCUAAUCUCUAAACCCUAGACUCUAAACCCUAAACCAUAAAACUAGAAGUGAUUUUAUGACUCAUCAAAACAAUUUUGUUUUGGAUGGUCAUUUUAAAUUUUUAUUAUUCAAAAUGAAUUUUUUCAAGGUUUAUGUGGAAGAAAAUAUAUCAAUGACUUCAUAGGAGUUGACUUUUCAAUUUUCUGAUUUAUUUUAUAUUUAUUUUGAAUAUUUUGAUAUAAAAAUAAUAAAAUAUUCUUACCACAACAAGAAACCACGUCGUGGUUAAUAAAUUGUAGACGUUGUAAAUUGUAAUAGACUACUAAGUCGUUAAAAUGACGUCGUUAAAAUGAGAAACCAUGGCGGCUAUUUAACUAUACGACGUAAAAUAUAUAUUUUACGACUUAACCGCAGUCGUUACAUAAACGUCGUCGAUUAUACCCUGAACCCUUAAGAAAUUGAAGAUAUUGUAAACCAUUAACGACUCAAUUGUUCAAAGAACGUCGUCUAACUAUUUUUUUACGUCGUAUUUGUUUAAAACACGCAACAACAAAAUACGACGGUUAUUGACUUUAUUAGGUCGUUGGAAAAGUAUUACACGUCGGUUAAGCAAUUUGUAUGUUUGUUUUUUUUUAAUUUAAGAAAACCUCAACAAAUUUUUACAUUACAUAUUAUAGAGAAAAUUGGUACAUUAUACAUAAAUAUCAAGUGUUCAAUAAUUGCCCUGUUUAAUAAUUUGGAAAACAAACUCUGCCCAUUCAUUCCGGACUUCAUCAAUGGCUUCUUGGGGGUAUGAAGCUUCCUGGUUUCCCUUGGCAUACUGCAUAAACAAUGACUAUUAGGGUUUAUAAAUAAAAAGAAAUUCAAUCACAGACGACGAUAUUUUUCAUAACCGACGUAGUAUAUCCAUUCAACGACGUUAAUUUUACACGACCGUCGUUGAUAAUACAAAAAACGACGUGAAAUGUAUGAAGGUAAUUUCUUCUUACCUUAUUCUCAAACCCCAAGGAAGGAUCCAUGAUGAUGUCCCUCAUGAAGCGCAUUACAUAAUACCCGCAUUCGACAUUGCUGGGUUGCUUUGGUGUGCCUGAGAGAGUUUUCCAAAUUACAUUUUUACGUCCUGCUCGGGCUAUGUGGGUAUUAUAUAUUUUUAAAGCACUGUUCACGAUGUUUUUGGCCUCUUCAUCGACCACACGAUUUCCUGGCAGAGGAUCCAGAAAAUAGACGGUUUCUCUCUUUGCUCUUACAAUCAGCAAAAUCCAAUGACGGCUGCACAAAAUUAAUAUAAAAACGACGGUUAUUUACAAAAACGACGUAUUAUAGUAUUUCACACGACGAAGUAAAGUAGCUAACGACGACAUUAUAUAUUUAUCACGACGAUAAAUAAAUACCGACGUGGUUAGUAGUUUCAAACGACUAAAUAAAAUAAAACACCGACGUGGUUAGUUUAUAAGCUGUCAUUUAUUGAAAAUCUUAAAAACAAAAUCCUAAGGAGACUAACCCUGGAUUGUAAGGCAUCAUGAAAAUCUGUUCACCGUCUGUCUUCUGAAGUCGAGCUGCUACCAGUCGUGAUCUUGCAGUUAUUGUGCCAGAGUUGGCACUAACUGUAGCAGGGUCGAUAAAGCCAACCAUACUGCACAUAUUGGCUUUUUUCAAAACAUCGUGUAAGUACCUAAACAAAUAAAAUAAUAUAAACAAGUCAGCACACAAAACACGACGGUUAUGUAUAAAACAACGACGUAUUAUAAUAUUUCAAACGACGUACUGAAAUAGAUGAGGACGUUAUAAUAUAUUUAUCACGACGGUUGUUAGUUAAGACGACGUGGUUAGUUAGUUAAGACGACGCAAUAUAUAAACCAACGAGUUAUUAUUUUAGAAGUACAAACCUCAUAUAUACAGCCAAUACAGUAGCUCCAAUUUCUUCCAUGCCUGCAAAUUGUGUAAUAUCUUCAGGCAGGAGGAAGGUAUCGCGCUCACCACCAAACACCUCCUUAUCAAUUGUAAAUUGGACUGUCUUAUCCUCAGGCAGGAGUGUUGUUUCCACAAAACGACAAAGGGUUUUUAAAGAAGAUGGCGCCUCCAUUUUUGAAUAAGCACCAACUUCAAUAACCUGUUUAAAGAAAUAAAAAAAAUGACGUGGUAAUUCAAUAAAGACGACGGUUUAAGUAAUAAAACGUCGUCUUAAAAGUAUUUAAACGACGGUGAAAAAACUGUCGUGGUAAUUCAAUAAAGACGACGGUUUUAUAAAUAUUUUAUUACGUCUUAAAAAAAUUCCGCCGUCUAAGUUGUAAACAAACGACGGAUUAAAAAAAAUUCCGCCGUCUAAGUUUUAAACAAACGACGGAUUAAAUAAAAAUAUCGACGUCUGAAAUUUUGAAAAACAACUUUCUCCUUUUCUUCUUCCUUCUCUUCAUCUCUUUUUUCUUCUUCCUUCUCUUCAUAUCUUUUUUCUUCUUCCUUCUCUUCAUCUCUCUUUUCUUCUUCCUUCUCUUCAUCUGGCUGAUGUUUCCCCAUUUUGGCAGUAUCAUCCUCCAAAUGUAGGGAUCUCACAUCACCUCCAGAGCAGCUAGCUUUGUCAGACAUUGGAUUUUUGGGGCUUUGGCUAAUUCUUGGUUUAAGCAUGCUUGGAUCAAAAUUGGGAAUUAAUUGGGAAAGCUGACUCAGGAAAUGCUCCCUCUCAGCCUCUACCAAUUGUUUUGUCCUAGCCUCCAUCCUUAAGGCCUCUUCCCUUGCCUUAGCCUCCAUCUUUUUAGUCUCUUCUUGAAGGAGAACUCUUAAACUCUCCUUCAAAUGGUCGUCAAAGCUCACCCUCUGUGGUUUGGGCAAAUUGAAAUAUUGCCUUGGGGAAACACCAGCACCAACUCCCCUCACCCUGCCUGGAUGCUCGGGGCCCAAAGCCAUGGUCAGCACAUCAUUGCUGCCAUCUACUCUGACUUUGCCUUCCGAGACUUGUUUCUGCAAUUCAUCCUAAAACAAAGAUAAACAAAAAAACACACGACGGUUAUUUAUGUACAAACGACGUAUUAUAUAAUUUCACACGACGCAAUAACAUAUAAAACGACGUUAUUAUAACUUAUCACGACGGUAGUUAUACCGACGUGGUUAUUUAUUUAAAACGACGAAAUGAAUAAACAACCGACGUCUUAUGCUAUAAUUAAAGAAAACAGAGUAGUGAUUCCUAUUUAGACCGUUAACGACGUUUUUACAAAAGUUUCGACGUGGUAAUAUCAUUCACACGACGCGAGAAUGAACCACCGACGUCGUAUGCUAUAAUAACAGAAAACAGAGUAGUGAUUCCUAUUUAGACCGUUAACGACGUUUUUAAAAACUUUUCGACGUGGUAAUAUCAUUCACACGACGAAAAAUAUAACAUACGACGUAAUAAGAAUAAUUCACAGUUUAAUAAAAAUUUAAAACAGAGUGAGUAGGCUUACAAUUAAUUUUGCCUUCUCUGCCACCUUUGGAUCAGGGAUGUUACCAUGUUUGUCCUGUCUAGCUCUCUUCCAUAAGGUAGAUCGAUCAAUUUCUACCCCAGGCAUGGUUUCCUCCAAUUGAUCCUCCAAUCCAGCAUAUCCUUUUCGAGACAAUCGAUGAUUGUACUCGAGUUUCUCCCUAAUCUGUGAAUGUUGAGAAUGCACAGACUGAAAAUCUUUGGAUAGCCUUGAAGCUACAAAGGCAUCCCAUUGGGCUUUCUCUAUGAAUUUAUAUGUUUCAGGGGGUUGGCUUAAUUUCUCCCUGUCAUUGGUGUAUGGAAGGAUAUAAUGCCUCGUUAGUGUAGACUUGAAAUCCUUCCAUUUUUUGGCAGCAGAAGAUAAAACAGAGGUCUUGCCCCCUUGGCCUACGACAAAAGCCAUGUCAACUGCUUCCCAAAUCUGCUCCUUUAUAUCCUUUGGGAUUUGGGACCAUUUCUUUUCCACAAGUGGGAUCCUGGAGCGUGCCAAGACACCAAUAUACGACUGCAUCUCAAUAUGUGCUUGGCCAACACCUUUCCCCCUUUUAUUGUACUCAACAAUUGGCCUCAGUUUCUGAAGCUUUCUCUUCACAACACGAGGCAUUAUGCUCAUACCUCGACCAGUCUUUGAAUCAUCAGAGAUUGUUGUCUGGCUGGUUGGUUCUGUCUCAGCAGAUGAUGAAGCAAACUUCAUCUUCUUCGAAGACUUCAUCUCCUUCGAAGACUUGUCUUGGGGAGCUACCACUCCAAGCUUCUUGGAGCCAGAAUCCUUAGUUUGUUGUUGAGAAACCAUUUUAACAGACAAAACUGCAAGUGAAAAUAUUUCAGGAAAACAUUAAGAACACAAACGACGGUAUUAAAAAAUACGACGUAUGAUAUGAUUUUAGACGACGCAAUGAAAUAAUCUCAGAUGUAAUAAAUGUUUAAAACCAUUAUUUAUAUAACGUCGUGGUAUAUAUGUUCACACGACGUCAAUAGUAAUACACCGUCGUGGUAAACUAUUAUUUAUAUAACGUCGUGGUAUUUAUGUUCAUACGACGUCAAUAGUAAUACACCGUCGUGGUAUUAACAUUCACACGACGUAAAACAAUAAGAUAUUUUUCGUCUAUAUUAGAUACCAACCCUAGUUUCUUUUUCUUUAUAUUUUAUCAAAUAAGGAAAAACAAAAACCAUUGUUCAGAGAAAUCAAACCUGCAAUUAAACAAGCAUAUAAAAAAAGACUAUUAUUUUAAAAACAACUUUGUCAAUUUUCAGACGACGCUAGAACAACUGACGAACCGUCGUGGUCUACCGUCGUCUUAUUUAGUUGAGGUAGUUGUCUUCAAAGUUGGAAACUUUCCCUCUUUGUCUGUAUAUUUUAUCAAACUUGGAAAGAAGUAAAAUGAUUUUGGCCAGAAAAAAGGUAAAAAGAUUUUUCAAACAAAAAACGUAUGAGCAUGCAAAACAGUAACCAAAAUAGUGAAAAUGAAAGCUUACCUUUUGCGUGCAAUGAAAGCAAGAGGAAGAUGAUCGAUGUUUAAAUUCAGAGACGACGAAGAAGACGAGAGGAAGACGAUGAGAAACUCUGACAAUGCUCUGACAAGGAAAAAAGACGAAAAGGUUUCUCUGGGAGAUUGAGAUUUUUAAUCGGGUUUGGAAACAGUGCAUGUGUAAGUCGAAAAGUUGCUUACAUAUAAAACCAUUUCAAAAAAAAAAUACGGCGGUGACAUUUAACUACGUCAUUUUUAACUAACACGACGCAAUAUUUUUAGUUCGACAUGGACUCAUUUCAUUUAACGUCGUUAUAUUUAAUAUAACCGACGUGGAUUUUAAUUUUUAAAUUAUGAAUAGAAUUUUUUUUCCCUUGAACUUUCAGUUUAUUUUUCAAUUACAGUGCGUUAUAAAUAGAGUUUUUUUUCUGGAGGAAAUUUAAAAUGAAGGAAAUUAAUGUUCUGGAAUUUAAAUAAAAUAAGAAUAUAAAAACAACGACUGUUUUUGUAUUACUGUCGUCGUUUUUCGUCGUCUUAAGUAAGACUAAGACGACGUAAUAUAUUUGUUUAGGGACGUUGAUUUUUGUUUUAAACGUCGUUAGGUAUAAUAUAACCGUCGUUGGAAAUUGUUUCUCUGAUUGCAAAUUUGCAACGACGUUAGGUAUAAUAUUUGUAGAUAAACAAACGCACACACAUCAUCAACUUCCAAAAAAUUGUCUCUCUGAUUUCAAAUCUGUGUCAUCUGUUAAGAUUAUGAUGUGGAACAGAGUUCCAUCUGGUAAGAUUUCGUAACCCUUGGGAUCUCAGAAAAAUCUGAUUAUGUCGGCGGUUUUUUAUAUAAACCGUCGUGGUUAUUUCAAUUCUUGUCAUUAAGUAUAUCUACCGACGUAGGAUAAGAAAAUCAAAGAAAAAAAUUGUUAACAAAAAUUCUUAUUAAGACGACGGUUUAAAUUAAAGGUACGACGUAUAAAAUGCAUAAAUACGACGUUAGAUUUUAUAGUACGAUUUAAAGAGAACGUCGUAGAACUAUACAAUAAUGACGUCGAUAUAUUUAUAUUUGUCGUCGUUGUAAAUUAAUUUAAUACGGCGAUAUUUUGUAUUUUACAGCCGUGGAUUUGUUUGUAAUUAGACAGCGUCUUAUACGAAAACCUCGUCGUGUUAUUUUAUAAGUAAAAACGGCGGCUUUUAUUGAAAUCGUCGUCUUUACUUUCUACGUCGGUCGAUUCAUAACUUCUGCCGUUCUUUGUUCGCUUUGAUUUUACACUGCGGAAAUCUGUUUCAAAUAGACGUCGGUUGUUUAAUUAAGUACGUCGUUGUUUUUGAACAGCCAUUUGAAUCUCCCUUUUUAGUUGUCUAAGGUGGUAUUAAACGACGGUGUUUUUAGAACCGUCGUCGUUUUAAAAACCACGACGGUUUUCACUGAGACCGUCGUUGUUUUCUGGUCGUCUUUUUCACUUUUUGUAGUAGUGUGUUACUGUUCAGUCUUUAAAGAAAAUAGUAUACAGCCUUUGCAAACAAAAAGAGAAAGCCAGAAGAAAGAAAAAAAGAAAACUGCCGCAACACCAAAGAGGUUUCAGACUUUUCUUGUCUUUUUCCUCAUUUUUUUCUCUGCAACAGCAAGUCUCUUGUGUCCUUGUUUUUUUUCCUUUUCUUCCAACUCCAACAAAGCGGCGUCAGCCACCUUCUUCUUUUUUCAUGUUUUGACUUUUCUUCUUCUCUUUCUCUGCAACACCAAGUCUUUUGUCCCCUUUGUUUUGCUUUUCUUCCAAUUUCAACAAAGUGGCGUCAGCCACUUCCCUUUUCUUUUCUUUUUUUGCUUGUUGACUUUUCUUCUUCUGUUUCUUCUUGGCUGCUGCUUCUUUUUUUAUUUUUUUUGUUGGUGUUAUCUACAACACCAAACCUGCCACACCAAGCCCAUACAAAAGAGAACCAACGUGCUGUCUUCAACCCUUUUUUUUUGGCCAUUGCAAUCAGAUUCAAACAGAGUGGCUAUGCCACUUCCUUCUUUGUUUAUUUUGAUUUCUUUGUUGAAUUUUUCUUCCUCUCCUUUAUGGUGGUUGUCCUAUUCUUUUCUUCAUGACUAACAUCUUUUUCAUUUUUUUUGAUGUAGUUUGCUCAGAGAGAAAAAUAAAGGCCUUCUCAAGCAGAGAUGGAGAGGAGUGGUGAGAGAUCCCAGGAGGUAAUUCACGCUCUUUUUUUUUUCUGUACAUUUUUUUGAAUUAACCCUCCAAACACCAUUUCCAUUUCAAAGGAUUUCCUUUUGCUCGGCAGAGCUUUGUUAAACAGGAAUCCUCUCAUGGAUUUGUUGUUCAUGAUUUAAGGGUUGCCACCCAUUAUGGAUUUAUUAUCCAAGAGUUUUAUUUGAGGGUUGCCACCCAAUAUGGAUUCAUCAUCCAAGAAAAUGAUUUGAGGGUUGCCACCCAACAAGAAUUAAUUGACAGGAUCCAUAUACCUGUGAAAAUGUCUUCUCUUGUAUUUGUGCUCCUCCAAUUUUUCUCCUGCAGCAGUUUUCUUCUUCUGUCCCUUUUCUCCUUCCUCCUUUUUUUUCUUUUUUAGUGCAGAAUACUUAUACUGAAAACUGAAUAAUCAGCUCCCCCAAAAAUAGGAGCCACUAAACUCUCUUAAACGUUUUCAUUGGUUUAGACCCCCACCUUUUUCCAAACUUCCCCCCCACCAAUCCAAUCCCACGUUCCAAUAUUUUUUUGUGAUUUUUUGUGAUUUUUUUAUUCCAACAGAUGCCCCCUCAAGCUUUGUGCGUGUGACACUUUUACGCGUGCAAAGCUUGAGAUGCCUUUAACUAGCAUUAUAAGUUAACAUAUGUAUAUAUUUUUUUGACCUUUGAUUUCAGGUGAUGGAUGCUUAUGGAAAUCUUCACAAGGAACAUGCUUCCGAUGAAUAUGGUAGGGCCAUCGCCUUUGGCCCCCAGUACAUGAGAUCUUGUCCUCUGAAUUCGAUCAGGCUUAUGGUGCCUCCUGAGAGUCGGACAACAUGGUUCACCACAGAUCACGUGAGUAGUGGACAUCUCAAAUUCAACCCCCAUGAAGAAGACCGAGUUAUUCAAAUUUCUCAAACAAAGGGCCCAUGUUUUCUAGCCCACUCUUUGAUGAAAGUAAACAAUGAGAUUGAAGGAGAUAAACAGUGUCUUCCUAGAGAUGAAUUUUAUCCGACUAUGCACAGGAUGCUUCGUAACAAAAUUUCAUGGGGAAGCAAUUUCAUUUUCGGUCGGGCUAACUUUCGAUCCUUUGUACUGGAGUGGACGGAGUCUAUUUUGAAUGACUUUGGUGAUGUCCUUCGUCAAGCUGAUAUAUAUGGGGCUGUGGCCAUUUCUCGGUACUCCUAUGAUUUUUGCCCUAAUGUUUGGAGAGCAUUCUGCGAGUUAUGGGGGCCUUUAUCCAACACAUUUCAUCACGGGAACGGUGAAAUGGGCAUUUCCUUAUACGACCUAAAAGUUAUUGGCGGGUUACCAAUUUUGGGUCUCCCCUAUGAUGAAUUUAUCCCUUUAAACAGAGAAUUAUGCCGUGAAGACUUGUAUCCUUCAACCAUUGGUGAACUUUUGAAAAUCCAUGCUCAACUAUGUGUUUUCCAUAAGAAAGGGCAAGUUUUCCACGAUCAAUGGAUUGAGCAUUUCUUUCGAGGGGAAGCCAUAUAUGGUGCUGCGGGGAAUAAAAAUAACAUAGUUCCCAAACAUACGGCCAAAGACCUCAAAUUUCCCUUGAACAUUUCACGUGAAGGACAAUUGGCUGCUUUUUUAGCCUUUUGGCUUAGCCGUUUUGUUUUGCCCCUUGAUAAUGCUAUAAGGCCAGAAUGUUUCUAUAUGGCAAGUUUGAUGGCGAGAGGGUUUAGAGUUUCACUUGCUCCAGCAGUGUUGGGACUUAUUUAUCAUGCCCUCGGUACAGUUGCUACUCAUCGUAAGGGUCCUGGUUUAGCAAAUGCAUAUCUUCCCAUUCAUUAUGUGAUUGGAUGGUUAGGGGAGCACUUUCCUGAUCUGAUCGACCGUCGGAGUGACAAUGAUUUUCCAGCACAUUACCCUCUUCUAGCGAGGUAUAGUCAGAUUGAAGCCAAAUAUGUCAGCUCUAAUCAAGCUAGAAUCAUCUUCAGGAGUGAGUUUAUGGUUUAUCGUCCCAGUGUCUUCCUUGCACAAGAAGAUUGCAUUCUUUUAGACACAGAGAGCCUUGCGGACGAUGCCUUUGAAUUCUUGGUUUGUAUGCGCUCUGCACUACUUCCUGUAAGGUUAGGUGGCGAUCUUUGGUUGGAGCCUUACUACCCAAAUAGAUUUGCUCGCCAGUUUGGCUUUGAUCAAGGAGUUCCGGAGAAUAAACUUUUAUUUAGUGUAUGUGAGAGGCAGCGAUGCGGGAUUGAGAAGUUGGUGAGAGCCCAAGUAGUCCUUCUGCGCAAAGAUACCACAGCGCGUUUCUAUAUUCCGCGCUCCACCCGCAUUGGGGAAUGCUCUUGGUGGUAUUGUAGAUGGUGGAUGACUGCAUGUGCACCUUAUAUGGGCUUUUCUGUGUCAAAAAUUUUCUCAGUGGUAGACAGGCAUGUCCCAAGGAAGGACCACGUCUUUGUGACUGAUAAUUUGAAAAGUAUUUCGACCGGCAUGAGCAAAAGCGGCUUUAAUUCAUCUUCACUUCCUCGUGGUGCUUCUUUGAGCAGAGGACACAAGAAGAGAAUUCCCAAUGCUAAAAGGGAACAUUUCUCAGGGGUUAAUCACGUGAUGCACCAAUCCCAAAGGAUUAAUCGAGACUCACACCACAAACGGGCGCGACAUGCAGAUCACAACAAGGUUAAGGAUGGAAGCUCUAGCCAUGUUCUUGACGAAGAGAGUUCUAAUCCGGUGCAGGGGGAAAUGAGAUUUGACGACAUCCUUUUUCCUCGUGAAAUGGAGCCUAUUAACGUGGAUAACCCAGCCUUUGAAGUCAUUUCUUCAGGUGAAGAGGAAAAUAUUCAUCAUGAGAGUGCUAACUCCAGCAUGGGUGGUAGUGGGUCAGACUUCCUGGCUGAAGUGUCUGAAUUUCAACAAGUUCAGAAUAGCCCAGCUGAUGAUCAGUUUCCUGAAAGUGUUGGGCCUAUAGCAGUUGUGCGGCCCUUCCAAAAUUUGGUAUCAGUUGAGAACUUUGUUCAUCAGAUUUUUGGGAAUGGGGUAAACCAGAAUAGGCGGGAGUUUAUCAGUAGAGAAAUUGAAGGUAUCUUUAGCAGACUUUACUCCUCAGAGACACCUGCUCAACUUCAUAUGCACCAUUCUGAGAUCAUCAAGGCCCUUCGACUUUUGGGGUCAACCGUUGACAUUCUUGGGUGUGGUGAAACUGCAUUUAAGCAGUUUGCCCAGCUUGUUGAUUGGAUUUUUGAGCUUGCCAGGCGACAUUCCAAGAGCAGUGCCUAUAUUGAAGCCUUAGGAGAUGUGAAUAUUGAUGUGAUUCAUGAUUUGAUCCGCCAACACGAGGAAUGUUUAAACACCAAGCUGGCUCUUGAGGGAGAACUUACAGAGGUUGCUAAAGAGAUUGAAGACUUGGAUGUCAAGGAAGUUACCAUCAGGGAAGCAGAAGAGAGAGUUCGCCAGAUGCGGGAAGAGCAUGAAGCUAAGAAAACUUCCCUUAAUAUGCAAAAGAUGAACUUGGAGAUUUCUUUGGAGCAUCAGAACGAACAAGCAAUACAGCUUCAACAAUCCAGAAUUGAUGCUAAAGAAGAUCUACUUCCCCAUAUCGGGAGCACUCGACUGUCAAUGAAGGCUCAAGAGCAAGAGAUCCACCGCCUAAUCAAUGCCCUGUUUUCUUCUUGUAGCGAGCUCUAAGUGAUGAGCCUACUAUCAUUAUUAUUCUUUUUGUUUAGCAUGAUUUUUCCCUUCAAUAAAUGUUCUUGUGGUAUGGUUUAUCCACCAAGAAUUUGUAGGUAGGCCUUUGCUUCAGUAUUCUUUUGCUCUUGUAAUGUAGUUUUUCCACCAAGAACAAUUUUCAGAAUAAAGAUUUUGUCGGAUUUUGCUUUUCUAUUUCACAGUUUAUACUCGUGCGAAGUUGGAGUUUUUGCGUAGUAUACAACAGUUUAACCACGUGCUAAUACCAUCGGUGGACAAGAAUGAAUUUAUGAUAGUUUACGGCUGCAUCUAGCUUUUGGGCUAGCUUGCCUACAUACCCUGUGAAGGGAUCAAGCCGAACGUAGUUCACCCUCCUUGAAUUGAGGUAAUGAAGGGGGAUUUUGGGUCUUGUGACUGAAUCUAGCUUUUUAGAGACUAGACUGCCUACGUACCCCUUUUUUAGGGAUCAAGUCAACCGUAGUUCUUUGGUUGGGUCGCCCUUUCGGGUUUUCAACCCACAAAGCCUAAUAAUUUUUUUAUUUUUUUAUUUUUGGUGCUCUAAUUUUUGCUUGGGCCGCCCUUUCGGGUUUUCAUCCCAACGAGCAUUUUUUAAUUUACCCUAACUUUUGCUUGAACAGCCCUUUUGGGUUUUCAGUCCAACGGGUCUUUUUUUUUUUUUUUUUUUUUUUUUUAAACAUCAGGCGUAAAACUUCUUGACGAAUUUCCCGUUCACACAAGGAUAUAUGCACUUGCCUUCGGAGUUUGACAACUCGUAGGCACCCUUGGAGAAAACCUUAGUAAUGACGUAGGGCCCCCUCCCACUUGGGUUCAAACUUACCAUGCAUUUUCCUAGUAAUGACGAAGGGUCUUCGGACAGUUAAAACCAAGUCUCCAAUUGAGAAAGAUCUGAACUUAACUUUUCUGUUGAAUGCCCCUGCCACCUGAGCCUGAUAUAUUUCGAGCCUUUGUUGAGCCGCCAAUCUUUUCUCAUCGAGAGCUUCCAGUUCUGCCAGUCUCACAUUUGCGUUCUCGUCGGGGUUUGUUAGCUGUAAUGCUACCCUUAACGAUGGCAAUUGGACUUCUAACGGUAGAACAGCCUCGGAACCAAACACCAAAUUGUACGGUGUACAUCCUGUUGAGUUGCGUAUGGUCGUCCUGUAAGCCCAUAAUGCUUCAGGGAGGCGUUCAUACCAAUCUCUUUUGUUUCCUGAGACCAUCUUCUUUAGGAUAUUGCACAAUACUUUAUUGAAAGCUUCAGCUUGACCAUUUGACGACGGAUUGUAACUCGCGGAGAACGAGUGUUGAAUCUUAUACUUCUCGCACAACUUGGUCAUGGACUUGCAUUUGAAAUACAAUGCAUUGUCAGAUAUAAUCUUCGAUGGAACUCCAUAACGGUAGAUGAUGUGGUUCCUUAUGAAGUUUGUAACAUCGUCUGCUCGUACCUCCUUUAAAGGAAUUGCUUCAGCCCAUUUAGAGAAGUAAUCAGUCGCGGCCAAGAUGUAUUGAUGUUGACGUGAUGACUUAGGCUUUAUCAUGCCAAUAACAUCUAAUCCCCAAGCUUCAAAUGGCCAAGACAAAGUUGUCGGAUGCAAUUGUUGGGGAGGUUGGUGAAUAAAGUCUCCAUGUAAUUGGCAAUCUUUACAUGUGGUUGCAAAUUUUAUUGAGUCUCGGACCAUUGUUGGCCAGUAAUAACCCAAUCUCUUCAGUUGGUUUGAAAGUUUUGGACCAGCUUGAUGAGCACCACAAGUGCCAGCAUGAGUAUCAUGAAGGGCCUUAGUUGCAUCUUGUUUCGACAGACACCUUAACAACAUACCAUCAAAUGAUCUUUUGUACAAGGUAUCAUUUAAGUACAGAAAUCGAGUGGCUCUGCGUCGGACUUCAGCCUUUUUCCUUGAGUCAUUUGGCAACUUGCCAAAUAGUAGAUACUCGAUUAUGGGAUGGCGCCAAUCAAGAUCAUCCGGUUCCUCCUCACAUUCGGAAGACGUAAUAACGUUUGAAUCCACAACUUCUUCAAUUCUCUCUAUAGCUGGGGGUAGUAAAUAACGUUCCCCAACGGUGACUUGGAUAUCCCUUUCGCUAGGUAGUGUUAACGAUGCAGCCAAAUUAGCUAGUGCAUCAGCUUUAUCAUUUUCUGACCUCGGGAUGUGACUAACAUGAAUGUCUUGAAACUGUGACAUGAGAUACUUAGCCCUUUCAUGGUAUGGGACGAGAGUAGCAUUUCUGACUGCAUAUUGACCAUUCAACUGUCUGACGGCCAACUGUGAAUCACCAUAUGCUUGCAAACAAUCAAUAUGCAUCUCGAGGGCAAUUUUAAGGCCAAUGAUGAGUGCCUCGUAUUCUGCCACAUUAUUCGAACAUAAAGCUAGUAAGGAGAAUGAGUAUGGGAUUAAGCCCCCAGACGGCGUGAUGAAUACUACUCCUGCCCCAGCUCCGUUUCUUCUUGCUGCCCCAUCAAAAUAUAGUUGCCAUGUAAGUGCUUCUAUUGUGAACACCUCUUCAUCAGGCAAAUCUGCAGGUAACUCCAUGUUGUCGGGAGUAGGAUGAGCAGCCAAGAAAUCAGCAAGAGCUUGCCCUUUGAUCGCCUUUUGUGGCACAAAUUUUAUCUCAAACCCAGAGAGGAGGAGUGACCACUUGGCUAUUCGCCCAGAGAGCACAGGCUUGGACAUUAAAUAUCGGAGCGGAUCUGCCUUGGAAAUCAAGAUGACUCUAUGAGAGAGGAUGUAGUGUCGUAGUUUCUGGACAGCAAACACUAAUGCAAGGCAGACCUUUUCGAUAGGGGUGUAAUUUUGUUCUGCCCCUACGAGUGUUCUACUCAAGUAGUAGAGUGCAUUUUCCUUUCCAUCAUCAUUGUGUUGAGCGAGCAAUGCCCCCAACGAGUGUUCUAACGCUGCAAUAUACAAGAUUAAGGGCUUCCCUUUAAUUGGCUCCAUAAGAACUGGCGGAUUUAAUAGGUAUUGCUUAAUGCUUUCCAAGGCAUUUUGACAUGCUUGAUCCCAUACAAACGGAACAUCCUUCUUCAUGAGCCUCGAGAAUGGUUGGCACCUUCCAGAGAGAUUUGAGAUGAACCGUCGUAUAUAGGCUAGUCUCCCUUGCAACCCUCGCAACUCCCUUAAAUUUUGAGGGGGAGGCAUUUCACGGAUUGCCUUGAUUUUUGAGGGAUCAAUUUCAAUUCCUCGAUGUCGGACAACGAAGCCAAGGAAUUUGCCUGAAGUUACCCCAAAUGCACACUUCAAGGGGUUCAUUUUCAACUGGAGCUUUCGGAGUCUAUCAAAAACUCGUUUUAAGUCACUCAAAUGAUGUUCCCUUUUCCUGGUUUUAACCACCAAAUCAUCAAUGUAACACUCAAUAGUAUUAUGAAGCAUGUCAUUGAAAAUUGUUGUCAUAGCUCUUUGGUAAGUUGCCCCAGCAUUUUUCAACCCAAAAGGCAUCACAGUGUAGCAAUAUAUUCCUUUUGGAGUGCGGAAGACAGUUUUUUCUUGAUCCUCUGGAGCCAUUUUUAUUUGGUUGUAACCUGAGAAUCCAUCCAUGAACGAUAGAGCAGCAAAACCGGUUGUUGCAUCUACCAAUAAUUCUGUGAUUGGGAGCGGAAACUCAUCUUUUGGGCAUGCGUCAUUGACAUCUCUAUAGUCCACGCAUAUACGCAGUGCCCCAGUUUUUUUUUUUAGGACUGGAACAAUAUUGGACAACCAAGUGGGAUAGUGGACUUCUCGAAUAAAACCGGCAGCAAUAAGCUUGUCAAUCUCAAUUUCUAUUUGGAUUGUUAGCUCUGGCCGAAAACGGCGUGGCGCUUGCUUCACCCAUCGAGCCUCGUUAGGUAUCCCAAGUUUGUGAACUGCAACGUUUGGGUCUAACCCUGGCAUGUCUUGAUAACUCCAUGCAAAUACGUCUCGGUACUCUUGCAACAGUUGUGUGUAUUCUUCUAACUCUUGCGGCGUUAACGAAGCACUGACAAAGAUAGGUUUUGGGUCGUCAACUGUACCAAGAUUAAUUUCUUGCAGAUCAUCAAGUGUGGGUUGACCACCCUCCUCCAUUUGGGGUGGAGCUGGUUGGACUAUGUCAAUGAAUCCCUCGAUAUCUUGAGGAUCAUCAUCUUGGUCCACUGCUUCUUUGAAAGAGGUGCAAUUGACUUGGACAAGGUCAUCCUUUAUUUUCACCCUUUUGACCUUCUCGAUCACGGCUUUCUCUUGACUCCUAACCUUCCAUUUCCUUUUAUUAUGGACUUUCCCUUGUUGAGAAUUGGAAGGGUUUUCCAAGCGGUGAAAGACUGAGAUGCGGGAUGGCUGUCUGCUCCCUAAGCGUUUGAACACAGAGACGCGGAGCGGCCUUAUAUUCACCUCAUCUUCUCUAAACAUAGCUUGUUCCAUAUUAGUGAGUAUCUCGGACUCGGAAACUUCCAGCUGUGGCCUUCGAAGAAACACUUUGAGCACACCACUCUCAUUUUGAACUGUGAGGCCAGCAUUGCUUUUCUUUGUUUUACGGCCUGUAAGUUUUAUCUUUAAUGGAGUAAAUGUUGUUUCUGGCAAUGAUUCUUUUUUGUGAAGAACUAUACGUUUACUCAGGCCCUUGUUUUUGCCAAAAGUAGUCGAAAUGACCAAAUCGUCCCCUGGGAUAGAUUGACUGAUCUUACGAAGAGGACGAAUGUAGCUUGCCGUCAUCAGUGACUCCAUUGUUUGUUUCGAGGAGCUUGUUUCCUUUUCACUAGGCUUCUUUUUUGAAGUCUUGACAAUUAUCUUUGGCUUCGGAGCCUUUGCAGUCGGGAUUUCUUCCACUUUUGAGAAUGACGUACCACGAGGUUUUAGCUUCACUCGAAUUACGUUUGAAGGUUUGGGUACUUCUACCUUUUGUGCCUUUCCUGUUUCAACAGUCACUCUUUCCUCUUUAUCAACCUUUGAUGGCUGUGUGAAUGAGAUACCUGGUGGACUGUAAAAUUUCGCAUCUGAGUAAUUUACCUCUUCGCCUCUGAACGGGUCCAUGUCAGCUGAAACGCUCUUGACUUCCCCAUCCAUCGAGUAUUUGAAGCACUGGUGAAGUGUGGAAGGGACUACUCCAUAUGUAUGGAGCCAUGGGCGUCCUAGGAGAACAUUGUAUGAAGUGUCAGCAUCGAUCACAUGGAAUAGGGCAUCUGAAUAUAGUUCCCCUAUUUCCAUUUGCAGUGCGAUAGAACCCAUGGCUCUUUGCCCAAGUUGAUUGAACCCUUGAAUAGUCAGCAUAGAUGGAGAUAAUUGUCGGGCACUCAUCCCUAUAGCAUGGAGUGUCUUUACAGGGAUAAGAUUCACAGCCGAACCACAAUCUAACAAGAUUCUAUUGAUGAUCGUGCCUCCAACUUCGCCAGUGACAUAAAGAGGUCGAUUAUGGAAUUUGGAUCCAAGUAAGAAGUCAUCUUCACCGAAGGUAAUUGCUGCCAGACACGAUGCACCAAACUUCGAGGUUUCAGUUGUGUGGACAUCUACUAAUUUGAAACAUGAUUUGUACAAAUUCGGGCUCUUUAAAGCCAUUACAAGUGCUUCUCUAAGCUCUCUCGACAUUUGUAAAGCGUCAUAAACACUUAAAGGAGCGGGGAUGCGCUUAAGAUGAGCCAAUAUAUCAUACUUAAGUGCAUGUGAUUGUGAAGGCUCUUUUGUUUUACUAGUGUCGGGCUCAAGGUCUUUUGCUUUUGAAGAGGACGAUGGAACUUCCCUUGCAACAGCUUUUUCCGGCAAGGAGACCUUAAUCUCUUUCGCCUUUGACUUCUUCUCUGUUUUAAAGGGAUCAGCUUCUUCAUUUUCGUGUUGUUUAUUGGCAGAUGGGAUGCUCCGACCGGAGCGGAGGUUAAUCUCAUCAACCUCUGUGUCAACCUCAUAUUCUCCCACAGAAACCAUAUUGCAUUGGAUAAUUUCUUCUUCAACCUCGGAUUCACUCGAGAAGAAAUCAACUGGCAAGAAUUCGGUGAGUGUGACAGGGACCCUUGCGGGUUGCUCAUAUUCAUCCUCUUGAGGGAUAUGAACCUUCUUUUGCACCUUCUUCUUCUUCCUUUUAUUUUUCAAGGCUGGCAUGCCUCGAAUCUUGACACCAGGACGAGAAAAAGAUUUGUGAUUGGGUGGGAAAUGUUUGGCCAUGUGCUUGGCUCUUUUAACAAAUGUCUUCCACCCCUCAGCAGAUUCGUCGGCCGAAGAAUCUUCCCAUUCCUCUAGACUGGGUGCAGUCAUAAGCUCAUGAAGAGCGGGAAUUUGAAGAUCACUAGACCACGGUGCUUUUGGAUAGGCAUGUAUAAUUGUACCCCCAUUGUCAGUAUUAAUACCUGCAAGUUUCACUCCGUCUGGUGGUGUAGUGGUAGGUGUGAGCUUUUCCUCUAUCAUAUUUGCUGCAGCUGAAUGAUGUUGGGGAGAAGAGUCUAUCACCAAGCCACCAUUGUUGAGGAGCUCUUGAAUUUUGUCUUUCAAGAUAUAACAAUCCUUGAGCGUAUGACUGAUGAGGCAAUGAUACCGACAAUACCUAGGGUCAUUUGUCUUGUUAGCCUCAGCAGGACGCUUUGGUUCUGGCAAAGCAAUACCAUUGGAGGCCAAAAGUUGGUCAAAGAUUUCUUCUACAUCCUCAUCAUCGAAAGAAUAUUUAACCUCUUUGCGCUCUUUGAGAGUGAGCCUUUUGGGUGGGUCUUUGCUUUGGCCUUUGUCAUUUCUCUUUUCUGUUUUAACAAAAGUGGCCAAUGACUCUCCUUUUGAAGACUUCUUGUCAUUUUUCUUCUCCCCAAAUUGAAUUUUUUGGGUCACGGACUUUUGAAGAGCAAUUUGUCUUUCAACAUUGCUCGCCUUUGACACCAAGGCAUCAAAUGAUUGGGGUUCAGCAGUGGCAACAAAAGUCGCAAUAUCUGGUAUGAGGUUGUUGUAGCACAUUUGCACGGCUGAUUGCUCGGUAAUUUUCUCCGGGCAUUGAAGAUUGAGGCUCCUCCAUCUCAUUAUGAAGUCAUUAGCACUUUCCCCUGGCUUUUGGGUAGUUUUAGCUAGGUCCAUGAUCGAGACCUUCUUCUUUGAGCUAACAAACUGUGCCAAAAAUGCUUUUUGCAUGUCGUCCCAUGUCAGGAUAGAACCUGGCGGCAGUUGUGUAUACCAAGUGAAAGCUGACCCUUUUAGGGAUUGGACAAAUUGACGCACCAGAAGAGCGUCUGACUGAGAUGUCUCGCCACAUGCUGAGUAAAAAUGUGCCAAAUGUUCAUGGGGUGAGCUACUUAUGCCAUCAAAUUUAUCAAAUAUAGGCCAUUGAUAACCCUUCGGGAAUGGUAUGGCGUCAUAGUGAGAAGGGAAAGGUUUUCGAUACCCUUGAACAGGAGGUGCUAUAGACAAUUGGAACUCACGAAUUCCUUCAGCAAUUAACACCUUUAUGUCAUUUGGGGAAAUUGUGCUCGUAGAGCUUUCUGCUUUUUCCUCUUUUGUUUGUUGUUCAUGGGCGGUCGAUUCAUUUGUUUUGCCCAUGUCUUGCUCACCUAUGAUGUUUUUUCCUUUCAGCCGAGCGGAUAGUAACGCUAUUUCCGCGUCUUUUUCUGCCAACUUCUGCUGCAUUUCCCUUCGCAGGUCUUGCAUCAUUUCUUGGAUUAAAGGUAACUGGUCCUCAGUAUUAGAAGUACCAGUCAUCAUGACUUGCAUGCUUUCCACUCCCUCAUGAAGUUUGGCCCCUUGGGAUGAUAUACAAUCAUUCUCUUGAGUUUGAGAUACAGGAUCAUCAUAGAGAGGAUUCCAUUGCAAAUAAUCAUCCAAGGUUGAGCUUAGACUGGAUAACUCGGGAAUAAUCGUCCCAACCAUGUUUCGGGAUUUAGAACAAGUCAAUGGACCCACGUAGGUCCUCGACUGAUCUUGAGGUUUUGGGACUCCCCCUUGUGAUACGGGAAUUUGAUCCCUUGAAACAUCAGUUAUCUUCACCUUUUUCACGCGUUUCCUUUGUGGAUGAGGUAUGUUCACCACCUUCUUUUUCAUGACGAUGGCUCUGCUUUUACCCUUAGGAGAACAUGGGUAAACCUCUUGUAAUGUGGAUUCCACCACAUGGGCUCUAAGGCUUGAUGGAGGUUCGGCCCCUUAGACCUCGACAUUCUUCACGAAGUCGUCCUUUUGACCUUCACCUCUAGCUUCGUUGGUGGAAGUCAUCAGAACAGAAUCUGUAGGAUAUAGAUUGACUGGAAUUGAUCCAAUCAUGAUUUGGACAAAUCGGGAAGUAUUUGUUCUCUUGGGAGUCGGCACAGCCAGGGUGGUUAAGGUGUUCUUGCCCUCAGUCAUUAUUGGGCUUGUCCCAGAAAGCUGGGAUAAGAUUGCCUCAAUAGACUCCUUUUUUGCUUCUUUCUUUCUUAAAGCACGCGCAGCCCUCUUUCUUCCAUUUCGGAGAGCGUUCUUGGACGGAGUUUUCUUCAAUUGGGUCUUGACGACCUUAGGAGUGACCUGGGGUCUGGCCCUCUGAAUGGGCUUUGGAACAGUGCACUUGAUGAGGCUCUCAUCAACAAUGAAAGUCUUUUUGAACCCUACUCGUUUGGUGCACGCUUUCUUGGUAGUUUCAAUUUUGUGGAAGAAAAUCGUUACUUGUGGUGCCAUCGUAUCUGGUUUUGUUAACCUGUGAAAAACACAAAUAAAUAAAACAAACAUUAGUCACUUUACGAUUAGAGAUGAAAAGGUAAAUGGAUCCCACCGGGCGUGCCAAAAAUUAUGUUGAAGGAAAAUUGUGAUCUUCCAAAUAUAAUUUCACCACCACUAAUUAAAUAAUGGGGUUUUAUUAUUUUAGGUUCGACCCAUUCGAGACGCAAGUCUCUUAAUUACAAUCCCUUGCUUCAAGGGAAAACCCUUUGAUUCCAUCAUAAAGAAACAGAACGUGUGUGUUUGAUUUUGCAGCUGCUCCCAAGUCCAACCUCAGGAUGCCUACGUAUCCCUUGCGGGAAUCAAGCCACUCGUAGUUCAAAGAUUCAUGAUGAAUAAAUGACUCAUCGCAAAACGAAGAAUUUGAAUGAGUUUGAUUGAGGAGUGUUUGAGUGAAUUUAGCUGAAUAAACCAGGGAUUCGAUAUGGAAAUAUGUUUGGGAUGGUUGCAUCUAGAUUGAAUCUCUAGAUUGCCUACGUACCCUUUUAAGGGAUCAAACCAACGUAGUUCGAAAAAUUUAGAAAUUAAUGGGUAAGUGUGGCCCAAUAAUUUAGAGUUGGUGUCUUUGAGACGAUUUGAAGAUUUUCAUAGGUAGAUGACCUAUGGGGAAAUUUUGAAAUUAAUGGAUAAGUGUGGCCCAUUAAUUGAGAAUUUGUGUUUGGGAUAUUUGAAUUUAAUCUCAUUGGAAUUUUCAUGGGUAGAUGACCCAUGGGAAAAUUUGGAUGGUUUUGUAAGACUUUUUUUCUUUUUGUCAAUGUCCCAGAAAAUUAAUGAGCAAUUUUGAUUAACCCACUAAUUUUCUAAAGUUGACAUUUGCACUUGGACCCAAAUAUGGUUACAAGGAUUUUUUUUUUUUAAUUAAUUCAUUAACCAUAUGAUAGGGAAUUUGGGCCUUAGGAAAUUUAAUGGGUAAUUAUUUGAGUUACCCAUUAAUUAUAUGGGCUUCUGAGAGUCAAUGGAUAAUUAUUCUCUGACAGCCCAUAAUUCUAUUUUGGGCUUUUGAUGUUUGUUGAUAGCUAGCCCAUGAGCAUGGAGCCCCAAAAAAAACUUUGGUCCAGCAGGCGAUUAGCUAUCCAACUCUUUGCAGAGUUUGUUUCCAAGUAAAAUCAGACCUUGCAAUCCCAUCUUUAUCUGGAAUACUUGUGAUCAGUCCGAAUUACAAGCAAACACUGUUACUGUUCAGUCUUUAAAGAAAAUAGUAUACAGCCUUUGCAAACAAAAAGAGAAAGCCAGAAGAAAGAAAAAAAGAAAACUGCCGCAACACCAAAGAGGUUUCAGACUUUUUUUGUCUUUUUCCUCAUUUUUUUCUCUGCAACAGCAAGUCUCUUGUGUCCUUGUUUUUUUUCCUUUUCUUCCAACUCCAACAAAGCGGCGUCAGCCACCUUCUUCUUUUUUCAUGUUUUGACUUUUCUUCUUCUCUUUCUCUGCAACACCAAGUCUUUUGUCCCCUUUGUUUUGCUUUUCUUCCAAUUUCAACAAAGUGGCGUCAGCCACUUCCCUUUUCUUUUCUUUUUUUGCUUGUUGACUUUUCUUCUUCUGUUUCUUCUUGGCUGCUGCUUCUUUUUUUGUUUUUUUUGUUGGUGUUAUCUACAACACCAAACCUGCCACACCAAGCCCAUACAAAAGAGAACCAACGUGCUGUCUUCAACCCUUUUUUUUGUGUCCAUUGCAUGCAGAUUCAAACAGAGUGGCUACGCCACUUCCUUCUUUGUUUAUUUUGAUUUCUUUGUUGAAUUUUUCUUCCUCUCCUUUAUGGUGGUUGUCCUAUUCUUUUCUUCAUGACUAACAUCUUUUUCAUUUUUUUUGAUGUAGUUUGCUCAGAGAGAAAAAUAAAGGCCUUCUCAAGCAGAGAUGGAGAGGAGUGGUGAGAGAUCCCAGGAGGUAAUUCACGCUCUCUUUUUUUUUUCUGUACAUUUUUUUGAAUUAACCCUCCAAACACCAUUUCCAUUUCAAAGGAUUUCCUUUUGCUCGGCAGAGCUUUGUUAAACAGGAAUCCUCUCAUGGAUUUGUUGUUCAUGAUUUAAGGGUUGCCACCCAUUAUGGAUUUAUUAUCCAAGAGUUUUAUUUGAGGGUUGCCACCCAAUAUGGAUUCAUCAUCCAAGAAAAUGAUUUGAGGGUUGCCACCCAACAAGAAUUAAUUGACAGGAUCCAUAUACCUGUGAAAAUGUCUUCUCUUGUAUUUGUGCUCCUCCAAUUUUUCUCCUGCAGCAGUUUUCUUCUUCUGUCCCUUUUCUCCUUCCUCCUUUUUUUUUCUUUUUUAGUGCAGAAUACUUAUACUGAAAACUGAAUAAUCAGCUCCCCCAAAAAUAGGAGCCACUAAACUCUCUUAAACGUUUUCAUUGGUUUAGACCCCCACCUUUUUCCAAACUUCCCCCCCACCAAUCCAAUCCCACGUUCCAAUAUUUUUUUGUGAUUUUUUGUGAUUUUUUUAUUCCAACAGCUAUAAAGUGAACCCCUUAUAACUUACCCCUUAUAACUUUCCACUCAUUAUAGUCUGAGCGAAUAAGUUCUAUAUCCAAGAGACUAAUGGGCCUCGUGAAGUAUAUUUAGAGCAAAGUUACAUAAAGGGAAGACAUUGCAUUUGCUCUGCAUCCGCUUGAAUAGCUUUGAGAUUGCCAACGAAUUGUUCAACUUCUUUCUUCACGUUCAAAACAAGUUACCUCCUCUUCUAUGAAUUAGUUAUUGAAGGCAAGGUUAACGAUAUUAACGACUUUUCUAGCUUAAGAACACACACCAAAUCAAAGUUACUCAAGUUACUCAAGGCAAACAAAACACAUCUUCUAGAGGAACAGAAAAACUGGGAACUGAUACACAAUAAAAUAAGAGAGAGCCAAAUUCACCAGUUCCUCAAGAGUACAUUUUACGAAUUAAUGACACAAAGGAAGUUUUGCAAAUGAUCAAUACACCAGUAGAUUAGUUAAAUAUAAGGUGCUUACAAAACAAAAAAAUCAGGGCAAUCAUCAAGCUCAGUAGACCUUCCAAAUUCACCAUGUCUCUGUCAAGGCAGUGAUGAAAAUAAUCAAAAUUUCAGUUAUUGGAACUUCCGUAGGCUGACACUUGAUGAUUUACAUCACUCUAAUUGCUUCAAUAGGGUCCCUGAAAUGACGACACAUACAUAGUUGAUCAAUUAAUUUGCUUCUUGCAAUCAUUUCUUAAAACAAGCACAACUCCAAAAUCUCAUAAAAAUACCCAAAACACUCAAUAAGGGCAUCAAAGUAAUUUAAUAAUCAAUAUUAAAUUCAAUAAUACCAGCUGUCAUUUUUUAGUUUGUUUAUAAAAAUUCAAUGGUGUAGAGUUUAUCUAUAAUAUUUGUGCUAAGAAGGAAUAUAUCACUAAAUAUCUCAAAAAAAUAAGGAUACCCAUCAAUGUUUGUAAAUCAAAAGCUCAGUAGACCUUCGAAAUUCAAGACUGACUUUUGAUGAAAAUUAUCAAAAUUUCAGUUAUUGGAAUUUCCAUAGGCUGACUUUGAUCAUUUCUCUUAGACAUUUUUCGAUUCGGGAAUUAAAUUUUUGAGAAACAACUAAAGCACGCAGAUUAAACAAAACAACAAACCUCGUGUGGCAUAACAAGUAAAUUAGUUUAUUAAUACUAGCUAGCUAAUUGAAAAUUAACUCAAGAGAUUUAACAAAACAAACAUCAAAGCACCUUUCAUACUCAUUUGAAAAAUCCUCUUAAUAGAAAAAUCAUGAUAUCAUAAAUGCGAACAAUUACUUACAUUUUUAGUGGGAAGAAAAAUACCUAGCGAGUCACCAUCUCAAGAUUAUAUAUGCCGCCGAGACAGAUGUUUCAUAAAUGUGCCUAGCGAGUCAUCACCUUUUGGAGAUUUUCAAGGAAACAAAUAUGAUCAUUGUUGGAAUUCAUACAUAAGUAGGUAAAUAAGAGAUUGCUAGAGCUCAAUUACCUGGAGCAAAUACGGAUGUUUGGGAUCUUAGCAGAAAUCUUGGCCCACUCUCCAUUGCCUUCUUCGUAAUGCUCUGCAAGUCUCCGACAUUUGGUGAUGUCAAGAGUCCGCAGUGGUGUUUUGAAGAUGAAGUCUGGCAGUGCUUUUAGCAAUUCGCAGUCUUCAAUUAUUAACUCAGAAAGGCAUGGCAUGAUUGUAAUUUCAGAAUCUUCUUUGGUCCACUCUUCCACGCCUUCCCACUCUUCCCAAUUCGACAUGCCGUAAAAGUAGAGUUGUUUCAAUUUUGGGAAUAAUAUUUGGGGGGAUCUGAUUCUGAAUGAGGUUUGAUCUUCUAAUCCCAAAAAUUCAACACCGACCUUUUUCACUCCUUCCAUUCUGUAUAGCUCCAGUCUUUCAAUGCAUUCCAAUUUCCCAAGAGGCCAAAAUUCACACAGUGUCCCCCCAGCAACAGUAAGGAAUCUCAAAUUGUGUAAAGACUGAAUCCAAUUGGGCCACGUGGUGCCAUUAUGAUACCCAAUCCCUAAAGAUUCCAAAUCUGGGUGCGGUCGUAAGGCAUUCAGUAUUUCUACACUACUACUACUACUACUACUGUUCGUCCGCCCUGCAAAAUUAACAGUGAGAUUAAAUAGCUUUUUGUCCCACAAUUGUGCUUUCUCAACCUCGCUCUUAUCUGUCGCAUCCCCCCGAAGUUGUAUUUCCAGACUUCCCUCAAGGUUCAAGUUUCUCAGAUCCCCAAUUUGGAAUGCUUCAUCUUUGUCGCCACCACAUGGACACACAUCUAGUGUUUGCAAACUUGUUAAUCUCCCUAUCACUUUGGGAAACGACUCCAGAAGACCACAAUACUUAACAUAAAGAUGCUUUAAGUUAAUCAAGUUUCCCAUGUUUUCAGGCAGUUUUGUAAGUUUAGAGCAGCCCACAAGGCGCAAGGUUGACAAAUUGUACAAACCACAAAUAGUGUCUGGUAAUUUCUUCAGUAUAUGAUUGGAAGACAAAUCAAUAUGCCUCAAAUGUAUCAAUUCACCAAUCUCCUUCGGGAGUUCUUCGAUGGAAUUACGACUCAAAUUUAAUGUCCUAAGACAUUUCAAUUGUAAAAUUAAAUUUGGGUCUAUGGUAGUAAUUCUUGAAUCAAAAGUUGCGAGCGUGCGGAGAUUUUUGCAAUUGUAAGAUGAGAUAAAAAGUGGAAGUGGACCUUCAGGAAUAUAUCUCAAGGUUAAAUGACGAACCUUAUCACCAAAUACCUUUGAUUCACUGGUAAUUUCCUCACCAUGAUCGAUAAUCAAACACUCAUUCUUGGUGAGAAAUUGUACAAAGUCAUGCACAAUAUCAUGCAUUUUGCAACCUAUAAUGGUACCGGUGUCAGGAUCUCUCUCAAAAUCUUGGAAAAAUGACCGUGCCACUAAGUUGUCAAAAACUGCAUCACCCGUUGUUCCCUUUUCUUUAUUCCCUUUCGAAAUAACAUAGUCUUGUGCCAUCCAAAGUUUAAUCAAAUCAUCUCGUUCAAACUUGUGAUCUUUUGGAAAAGUAGCACAAUAUAAAAGACAACAUUUAAUUGUUGGGGCCAAAUCAUUAUAACUUAGGAAUAGGGGUUGGAAAACUUCUUGCUCGACCUUCUCUAGAUCCCAUAUCUUACUAUGCAAAACUUCUUUCCAUUCUCCCAUUUUUGUCUUAUUCUGCAUGAGACUACCCAAAGUCUUUGCAGCAAGAGGCAAACCUUUACACUUCUUUACAAUUUCCUUACUAAUAUCUCCAAACUCAUGUACAUCCCUAUCCCAAAAGGCCAUGUGAUUGAAGAUUGACAAACAACAUUCAUCAUUCAACUCUCCCAGAUUGAUCUUGUUUCUUGUUGCUCUCAUCAUGUCAGCAACCUCAUGUUUUCUUGUGGUCACCAAUAUUCUGUUGCCUUUAGCACCAUUUUGGAUUAAUGGUACCUUUAAUUGUUCCCACUUUUUAGGAUCAUCGGUCCAUACAUCAUCCAGGACAAGAAGAAACCUUUUGCCCUGGAUGGAUGUAGACAUACAUUGCAAGACCUCAUCCAACUCAUUUGAAUUUGGGGCGUUUUUACCAAUAAUGGCUUUGGCAAUCUUAAUCUCAUCAAAAGGGUCUGAAACACAAACCCAUUUCCUCAACUCAAAAUGGGUUUUGACUCGGUCAUCAUUAUAGGCUAGUUGGGUUAAAGUUGUUUUGCCCAUGCCUCCCAUCCCGACAAUAGGGAUGAUAAGGAACCCCUUCCCUUCCGCACUACUAUCACUCAACAAGUGUGUUAUCAAAUCCUUUUUUUCAUUUUCUCGACCAAAUAUCUCAGAUAUAUCGACAAAAGAUGCAGUUUGAGGUCGUUGAGGUUGUUGAGGUUGUUGAAUGCCUAAUUCUUUGCUUAGAAACUGGUACUUUUUUCUUUCCUCAUAAAUCUCAGUUAACUUAUCAUUCAGAUCUUUUAUUUUCAGAGCAAUGUCAUGGAGAAGGUGAUCUUUUAUUUUGCCAAGACAAAAGUAAGGGGAGAAACUAGAGAAACGUACCUUCUUCCUUGUAACAAGAGCAUUUGGAUCACCUUCUCUUUCUUGCUUCUCAACUUGUUGUUUGAGAAUGUUUGUGUUCCACUCAUCCAGCACAUCCACCAUCUGGUAGGAUAUAUCUUUCAGCUCAUCCAACCAGAUUUUGACAGCUUGAUCCGUCACUUGGCGUUGCUCUGCAUCCUCAAGCACAGCUUGAAUAACUCGGAGAGUCCGAGUGAAUUUCUCAACAUCUUCCUUAACGUUCAAAACACGUUUCACAUCUCCUUCCAUGUAUUCAUAGGUUGUCGAGGCCAACCGUUCUAGCAGCAGGGAAAUGAGCGCACCAGCCAUUAUUUUGAGCUUCAGAAAAUGGUUGACAGCAGUGUUUAUGAAGAAGAACUGAUUUGGGGAUAAUUGUUUGUGUUGCGGUGUUCCCUUUCUUCUGCCCAGUUUAUAUGCUGAGUAAGUCUUCAAGGCAAACUCCAAGUCAAUUUUUAAGAAAUAUCUAAUCUGGGGCUGGUGAGUGCGCCAGACUGUCUUUCUUGACCUUACCAUACAAGACAAGAUUAGUGCGCCAGCUGGCUUAAUAAGCAUUACCAAGAUGUAGUGCAUAAAUCGCCAGACUGUCAUUCACAUUCUAUAUUUUUUACCUGAACUCUACCUACUUGAAUAAAGAAAUGUAUCAAAGAUUGGUUGGACAAUUGAUUUAUUUGUCACACACACCUCGUGACAUAUACUUUGAGUGUAGUUUAGUCAGUUCGUGCAUGUUUUCAGUAAAGAUUAUGUAAAUGAUGUAAGUCAUAUAUUUAGAUAUUUAAAGUUAGCAACAAGAAAAUGACUUAUGUUCUCUAAGCAUAAGUCAUUGGGCAGGUAGUAUCAUUGUCAUGAGCUCUACAUCAAGUAGAUUGGUUGGAGGUAAUUUCUCACUUGGCAUAGCAAUAAGCAAAAGAUGGUGGAGUACAGAAUAAUGGUACAAGGAAUCUAUGAACUAUUGUGAUUGAUAAUGUAUAAAAUAAUGAUCGUAGAUGUUUAAGUGGAUAGACAUUUCAUUAAAAAAUGAAGACAAUUAAUAUUCCAUUUGUGAAGACUAAAGACCAAUUAGUCCAUAUUCUCUCCAAGACAAUUAAAAAAUAAGGUGUGUUACAACUCAUUGGUCAAGUUGAGGAUUGGAGGCAUGUGUUCACCAAUUUGAGCGUGAGUGUUAGUGUGAAUUCUAAAUAUAACCUAAUUUGUAGUCUCCUAUUUGGACUUUAUUAGGUUUAGUUACUUUACUUAAGGUCCACUUCUCGUAAAUCCUAUUUGUAACUAGGAGAAGAACACACAUUUGAGAGUUUUAUCGUAUUCGUUUCGACACCGAAAUUUUUUCUUAACGUAUGCACCUAAAUGAAACUCAUUCAGUUUAGCUCCAAAAGGAUUCCGUUGGAACCCAAGCAAGAUAAGGUGACAAUUUACACAGGCAUCAUGGAAAAUGUCAAACAAGAAUUAUCUAGGACUAGUUUCUUAGAUAAAAUUAAUCCCUACUAAUGAACAUGAGCUGAUUCUUACUAGAUUAUAUAAUAGUUAAGAGUUAGAAAGCCCCCUCCUCCCUCUCUAAGAAAAUUUGGCAAACCCUAUAACAGUUCCCUAGCCAUCCCGCCUAUUCCUCCAAAAUAAGGUGUAGCUGCUACUUGUUCCCCAAGAAACACCAUAAUCACAAUCACAUCACACACUCUCAUGAUGAUCAAUGGAGCAUAAAUAUAUUGCAGUUAAGUUUCUUUAGCCCAAAUUAAGUACCGCUUGUAACACUCAUUCACCCAAUGUUAGACAAGGUCCCAGCCCAAAUCUAUGCAAAUAUUCUACGUAUCUAAAGUCACCUGGGAUUUUUGGAGCAUGCCAUGCCUGACAAUCUUCUUUCUAGCAUCUCCAUUCAAUCCUGCCAAUUUGUGGUCUUGUGACUUCCCCCUCAUGGUAUUAUCCCUAGCCUAGAGAAAAGGUUCCAUUGACCCAUAAUUUCUACUACUAGUUCGUAAAAUUGAAUAGUGGCAUGCUCACCAACUAAAAGGGGUAGACAUCCUUUUCUAACAAUCCCAUGAAGGAUUAUAUAAAUCUUCAGAGAAAGGCAGAGAAAACUUGAGAAAUGAACUAAUUAUGUACUCGCUCAUCAAUUAUGCAUAUCGAUUAUCUGGAAGAAAAAAGCAGAAAUGCAAAAAACUUGACAAACUAACUGAUAGAAGACAAAAAGAUAAAAGCUGCCAUAAAGGAGAGGUGCCAUUUUAACGGACAAGAAUCCCAUCAAGUAUAGAUAUGUCCAAAGAGUUCAGGAAUCUUACAUGAUCAAGCAGAAGAACAUCCUCCUCUUCUUCAAGCCGAGCAAAAUCUAUAGCACGCUGACCAGUGACAAGUUCGAGAAGUGUGAUACCAUAUCCAAAAACAUCAGUCUUUUCUGACGAUUUUCCAGUGGACAAAUAUUCUGGGGCAAUAUGACCCAUGGUACCACGCACUUGAGUGGUAACGUGAGUUGAUUUUGUAUCAACCAGCUUUGCUAGCCCAAAAUCUCCAAGAACGGGCUCAAAAUUAUCAUCUAGAAGAAUGUUUGCAGCCUUUAAGUCACGGUGUAUAAUCUUAGGAUUACAAUGCUCAUGUAAAUACUCUAAGCCAUGGGCUGCACCAAAAGCGAUGCGUUUCCUUGUUGACCAGUCCAAGCCUUUCUCACCAGGUUUUAAAUCUAACACAUAUAUCAGGAAGAAAAUGUUAUGAAUUAAAAAUAUUGAACAGUAGAUAUAUGAGAAUCGUGAUAUGCCAUUCCAAAGAAUUAAGUGAUGAUUAACCUUCAAAUGAACAAGCAUAAAAUACAAAUGAUGUAAAUCCUAUCUCCCCCCUUAAGAAGUAGGGAGGGGGGUGUUCAGGAUGUCCUUACUUGAAUAUUGAGUUGGUUGAAGAAAAUAGAAAUUUGUAUUUGGGAAUUUGAAUCACAAAAUGGUGGUUAUAUAUCAAUACGUGCGAUGAAAGACCUCCUCCAUAAGUAUGGGCUGGAAGGUGAGGUUGACCGUACGAUACCUAAUGGGUGUAAGUAAAAUUACCAAGAAAAACAACAAAGGAAGUAGGGAUUAGGGAGCAUCUCAGAAAAAAUUUCAAGGAUGGUACCUCAUGUCAUAAUAUGUUGCAGAAUUCUAUUGCUAAAUUAAACCACGAAAACAGAAGUAAAAUUACAGGCUCUCAAAUGGAACAGAACAUGGCAACAGCAAUGAUUUUUUCUUCUUUCUUUUGGGACUGAACACUGAAUUAGGGCUUCUAAUCACUUACCAAGCACAAAAAGAAGUUCAAACCAUGGUUUUAAAACAUGCUUGUGUUCAGAGCCACUCAUACUGAAAAAUGCAGAGGGGAAAUAGAAAAGUAAACUCAAGCAAUGCUCUUUUAGGACAUACCUCUCAAGCGAUACGCAACACUAAGAUUUUUCAUGAAUGGAUAAACAAGGAUUCUCUCGGAUGAAGUUGUACAAAAUCCAAUCAACCGUAAAAGAUUCUUGUGAACUGCAACGCUAAUGAGUUGUACUUCUCUCAAGAAUGCAGCCUCUCCACCAGGACUGUUAUAAUCUGUAAGGCGUUUCACUGCAACCUUUACAUUGUCUGAGAGGACACCUUUGUAAACUCUUCCAAAGCCCCCUUGUCCAAUUAUGUUGCUUUCAUCGAAGUUAUCUGUAGCAAGCUGAAUUUCACGCCAAGAAAAUCUUCUUAACUGUCCAAAGGAAAUUUUGUUAGAGUUUUAGGAUCUGUGUAUGAGAUUUUGUGAGAAGAGAGAAGAGAAUUUAAGAAAACUUGAAGAAAUCCAAAACUGCUCUGCUAUACGUGUAGCAGAGAGAACAUUCUCAUUAGCUCAGAUUUUCAGUACUACAACACACUCUUAGUGUGAGGAGAAAUAACCGUUAUGCCCAGUACCAGCUGGAUGCAUUUUAUCAAAGCAAUCUCAGCCAUUCACUAUCUAACCAAUCAAGCUAUGACACCUGGACUAAGUAUAAAGAAAUACAAAUAAGCAGAAAACAAAACUCUUAAUCCUGAAAUCAACUCAAGCACUUAUAAUUUAACACUCCCCUUUAAGUCUUGAGGUGAUUUCACUCCAAGCAUGCCUCUGAGAUAAUUGAAUCUGUCUUUGGCCAGAGGUUUGGUAAAAAUGUCAGCCAAUUGUUCAUUUGUAGGACAAUAUUCCAGAUUGAUUACUCCUUCUUGCAAUGCAUCCUUGAUGAAGUGAUACCUCCUAUCAAUGUGCUUUGUCUUCUGGUGGAAUACAGGGUUUUUAGUGAUUGCAAUUGCUGAGAUAUUAUCACAAUGCAAUGGAGUAGCUUCAGUUUGAAGCACUCCAAAAUCCUCUAGCACAAAUCGAAGCCAAAUAGCUUGAGUAGUAGCCUCAGCUGCACUGAUGUACACAGCUUCAGCAGUAGACAGUGCAACACAGUUCUGUUUCACUAAGGCCCAAGAAAAUACUCCACUUCCAAAACUAAAAGCAUACCCUGAUGUGCUCUUGCAAUCACCGACUGAUCCUCCCCAAUCACUGUCACAGUAGCCAAUUAGAAUUGAUCUUUUGCCUUUCACAUAUUCAAGACCAUAGUCCAGAGUUCCUUUGAUGUAUCUCAAAACUCUUUUAGCUAUUCCAUAGUGUCUAUUUGUAGGACAGUGCAUGAAUCUAGCUAGCAAACUUGAGGCAUACAUAAUGUCUGGUCUUGUAGCAGUUAAGUACAGCAAGCUACCAACAAUGCUUCUGUAUUGUUCUUCAUUUGCAGCUCCACUCCCAUCAUCCUUAGCUAGUUUCUCAGUGGCAACAAGGGGUGUUGUCACAGAUUUGCACUCAGUCAAACCAAACUUGCUCAACAAGGUGCUAGCAUAUUUCUUUUGAUGUAGAAAUAUACUAGACUCAGUCUGAAUAACUCCCAUGCCAAGAAAGUGAUGAAGUAAGCCCAAAUCAGUCAUCUCAUACUUAGCCAUCAUGUCUUCUUUGAAUUCAGCCAACAAUGCUUGACUGCUCCCUGUGUACACAAUAUCGUCUACAUAGGUAGACACAAUUAGAAUCUCCUUAUCUCCCCUUACUUUGGUAUACAAGGUUGCUUCACUUAAGCUUUUCACAAAACCACAUUGAGUGAAGUAGCUGUCUAUCUCUCCAUACCAAGCCCUUGGGGCUUGCUUCAGACCAUAAAGAGCUUUAUGUAGACGAUAAACCUUGUCUUCUUUACCUUUAAUUACAAAACCUUCAGGCUGAUUGACAUAAACUUCCUCUUGCAGCACACCAUUAAGGAAAGCAGACUUCACAUCAAGCUGGAACAAUUUCCAAUCCUUUUGAGCAGCUAGAGCAAUAAGUGUUCUAAUGGUGUCCAAUCUGGCUAUAGGUGCAUAAGUCUCAUUAUAAUCCAGUCCGGGCUUCUGAGCAUACCCCUUAGCCACUAAUCUUGCUUUAUUCUUUUGCACAGAGCCAUCCAAAUUCAGCUUUGUCUUGUACACCCACUUAACUCCAAUCACUGGUUUUUUAGUUGGUCUAUCUACCAAUUCCCAUGUUUCAUUCUUUUCAAUCAUCUGCAAUUCAUCUUCCAUAGCCUUAAGCCAAGAUUCAUCCUGAGCAGCAUCAGCAUAUUUUUCUGGUUCCAUGAUACACAAGUUACACUGAGCUAGAACAUCAUCUAGCCUUCUCCAUUUUAGAGGGGUGUGAUCAUAAGCUUGAGUUCUCCUUUCUUCACUGCUUAUAUCACCUGGAGUUGAUGAAGUGCUCUCUUGCAUAUCCAAAGUUUGAGGUGUACCAGUAGAAUUCUCAUUAGAACUGUCAGAUUUCAAGUCCAAGUCUACUUGGUUUUCAAUUGAGUAUGUUGUCAUAACUGAACCAUUUUUGUCUGUCCAAUGCCAAGCAUUUUCUUCAUCAAAUGUCACAUCCCUUGACAGUAAAAGCUUGUUAGAAACAGGAUCAAAAACUCUAUAUCCUUUUUCACAAGUUGCAUAUCCCACAAACACUCCCUUUGUGCUCUUAGGAUCCAGCUUGUGUCUCAAUUCAGUUGGCACAUGAACAUAACACAGAGAACCAAACACUUUCAGAUGUGCAAUUCCAGGCUUCCUUCCACUAUAUGCUUCGAAUGGAGUAAUGUUGUUGAGAGCUUUGGUAGGACAUCUGUUCAGCAAAUAGACAGUUGUAUGCACAGCUUCUGCCCAUAGGAAAUAUGGCAUUCCCUUCUCAUGUAACAUUGAUUUUGCCAUCUCAAUGACAGUUCUAUUCUUCCUCUCAACUACUCCCACUACUACAUUUUACUCUUUGCGCGACGAAGAACAAAACGUCGCGCAAAGUCUCAUUUAGUCGCACCAAUUUCAGCGUGACAAAACAGUCGUCGCGCAUAUUCCGUCGCGCGAAGAUCGUGAAGAAAGCCUUUGCGCGACGAGGUACAACCCUUCGUCGCGCAAAACUGUGCGACGGGUAAACCAUCGUUGCACCAACGGUGCGGAGACGAAACAACUGUUCGUCGCAAAAGUAUUUGCGCGACGAUCAAGUAUGCGGCCCACGUAUAUUUGCGCGACAACAGGAAUGGCGCGACGAAACAUAAUUCGUCGCGCAAAACAUGUUCGGGAGACGUAUAUGUUCGUCGCAGAACAAUUCGCGCGAUGAGAAAGUUUUCGUCGCUCAUAUAUUUGCACGACGAAACAUUUCGUCGCGCACGAAUUAAAAGUGAUAAAAAAAAUUUGAUUUUUUAUUUUUUUUGUUACAUGUUGGUUUGCGCGACGAAAUGUUUUCCGUCGCGCAAAAAGAAUAUUACAAAUUUUUUUUUAUAUUUUUUAUUUUAAAUAAAAUUGGUUUCUUUUUAUUGAUUAAACAAUGAAAUUGCAAUAAAAAUAAAUUAGAAUAAAAUUUUGUUAUAAAAUAAAAUAAAUGUAUUACAAAUAAAAUAAAUGUCUAUGAUGAAAAUAAAUACACUAAUCAAAUAAUGAAGAAAAAUCAACCGGGUCGUCGCCAGUAUGUGGCUCGGAGGUCUGGGCGUCCACCGGGGCAGUGGUCUGGGCGUCCACCGGGGCAGUGGUCUGGUGGGCAUGCUCGGGGUGGACGGGCUCGGAGGUCGACGCACGAAACUGCAGGAUCGGAAAGCCACUCUCUGCGAGGGACUGUAGAAUCACCGACAUCUGACCCUGAAGCUCGGCCACCUGUGCUGUCAAAGCAGUCACCUGACUGUUUGACUGCGCCGAUGAACGAGGUCUAGGUUCCCUCCGCCGGGCAUUCCCCAUCCCUCGACAAUAUGUCCCCGGCCUCCUCCCGAGAGGCUGAUCCAACGUCUCCGUCAAGAUCUGAAAUCCAGCAUCCUGUGGAGGAGCCACAGACUCGAUCGGAGUCUCGGGAGGAAGCUGGGAGGCGGACUCCUGAAGAACCAACUGGCUCCUCUCCACCAUCGUCGUCUGUUGAACAUAACAUAAAAUAUAAAUUAAAACAUGCAUAUAAAUUGAAUGCGUAACAUAAGAAUUAAAAUUAAAUAAUACUUACAUGAAGGGACUCGGCCAACUCAUUCCCGGGUCGAACAUAAACGUCACCAAAGACGUCGAUCUCUGGGAACUUGGACCCCUCCUAAAUUGAACAAGAGAAGAAAAAUAUUAGUAUGAAAAAAAUAAAUUAAUAAAAAUGACAUUAAAAAUGAAAUAUAAAUUAUGUGAUUAUUACCCGUCGCCGUGCAUCCAUCCUAUACGAAAAGGGCCUGGAGCCGGAAUGGUGGAGAAGGGUCUUCUUCUUCCUAUUACCCUUAUUCACUUGGGUUUUAUUCUGUUAUACAAAAAAUGAAACGUAUUAGUUAAAAUAUAACAAAUUAAAUAAUAAUGAAAUAAAAAAAAUGAAAUAAACAUUAAUAAGAAAUAAGUAAUAAUUAAACAAAUAUGAUUAAAAAAUACCAUAUAUUCGGGCGCUUGAAAAUGAGCGCAGAGCCACUCCCAACUAUCCUCCCGCCCCUCAAGCUCCUUCGGGCAACCCUCUUGAAGAGCGACUUGCGGAUCAUCAAAGGCCUGAAAAUGAUGGUGCAAGUCGCUCUUCCACUGCUUGUACCUCUCAGCGAAGAGUCUGUUGACGUACGCCAACGACUCUUCGUCGAGAUCCUCCAAGUUAUAGUUCGUCUGCAAUCAAUUAAUUAGAUACGUUAAGUAAUAGAAAUAUACACAUUUUAAAGAAAAAUAAUGAAAAUGUAAGGUACAUACCGACAACUGGCCGCGAACCUCUACCUUUAUCUCUUCAGGAAUGACCCUCCAAGACUUCCAUUGCAUCGGGCAAUGGGUCCGCACGACGUGGCCAAUGUUGUGGGCCAAGGAGCUAUGCAACUCCGCCGUGGGUACAGCCCGAUGGCGCUCAUCGUAUCCGAUGCUGAUACGACUGUUGGUCACCCGGGUGACCUUCGCCAUCUUCAGCUGACGACACGGCCCUCGGGUGUUCUUCUUCGCUGCAAAGAAAUAAGAUAUUAAUGUUAAAUAAACAACAUUGUCAAAUUUCAAUAUAAAAUUAACAAUAAAAAAUGGUAGUUAUACCUGGCUGUGAUCCCGAGGCACCAGUACCGUCGGUCGAUGUCGUCUCGGUGAUGUCGGCAGGCCGGUGCCGCCGCAUAGUACUAGCUGGCUGCGCGACGGAUGAUGCAGAUAACGUUGGAGCCUGGGAUGCCCCGGGACCUACCAGCACGUGCUCCAUCAAAGCUGGAGCUAUGGCAGCAGAUACCGACUGAGCCGGGGGAUCCGAACUAUGUGCAGUCGUCAUCGACCUACCACGUCUAAUCAAGUUUGACAUCUGCACAUAUAAUUUCAUUCAGAAUUUAAACUAAUUAAUUAAAAGCAUAGCAUGACCUAGGGUUUGGAAUUUCGGAGUAUCCGGGACUCCGAUCAACAAUCGGUCGAAUCCUAAACGAUCCUAGAAACACAAAGGUACAACUACGUGAGUUUGAGUUCGAUCCAACGGUCCGAACAUAUCAAACCUGGAAAUCGCAGAAUAGGCGAAAACCGAUCAAUACUCAAACGGUAACCAAAUUCAAAUCCGAGCAAACCUACGCGCUCGUGACAAAUAGGGGAUUGCUCUGGGACACAAUGCCCCACUGCCACAGCAUCCCACGCGCCACCACACGCGCCGGCAGCGCGUGGGUGUCCAAAGCGAUAACAUUCGCCGGAAAAUUCUAAAAACUAACCGCCAAGGUUCCUACCCUAGGUUGAAAACAUUAAUUGGAGCCACUUUUGUUCUCGGACCUACCCCGAAAAAUGGCCGGAAGUGGCCGAAUUUGAAAUUCCCAAACCGGCCAAAACCUAGGGUUUUAAUUCCUAUUUCCUAUAGCGAAAAUUCAACAAAUCCUAACCAACCAUCAGCUAGAGCACAAAAAAUAGUCCAGAAAUCAUACCUCAGGCGUCGGAAAUGGUGGCCGGAGGAGAGAGAAAUCGGCCAGCGAAGAAUCGGGAAAAAAGCGGCAGGCUCGACGGCGGGCUCGACGGCGAAGGCAGGGGAGGCUACGGCAGGAGCGGCGGUGGCUGAGGUGACGGCGGAGAGAGACGGCUGAGGUGACGGCAGAGAGAGAGGGAAACGGAGGAAAAAACCAGAAAUGGGGAAGGAGGAGGCAUCAGGCCGUUUCUGCAAAUUUUUACGACUUUGCGCGACGAAGAACAACAUCCGUCGCGCAAAAUGCAAUAAAUGAAUCUUGCGCGACGAAAUAUCCGUUGCGCAAGGUCUCCCAGAACGACAAAUUUUGAAUGGGGAUUUGGGUCUGUGACUUUUGCGCGACGAAAAAGACAUGGUUCGUCGCGCAAAAGGCUGUCGUUCCGCCAAAUUUUUGGGAUUUAGGGUUUAGCGGGAGGCUGAAACUGAAGGGUUUGUGGCUUUUGCGCGACGAAGAGAGUUAACAUCGCGCAAUAGGCACAUUGCGCGACGGAAGAUAAUGUAUUCGUAGUGCAAAACGCUGUCGUUCCGCCAAAUUUUUGGGAUUUAGGGUUUAGCGGGAGGCUGAAACUGAAGGGUUUGUGGCUUUUGCGCGACGAAGAGAGUUAACGUCGCGCAAUGGGCACCUUGCGCGACGGAAGAUAAUUUAUUCGUCGCGCAAAACGCUGUCGUUCCGCCAAAUUUUUGGGAUUUAGGGUUUAGCGGGAAAUGAAGGGUCUGUGGAUUUUGCGCGACGAAGAGAGUAAACGUCGCGCAAUGGGAACCAUGGUUCGUCGCAAUCUAUUUCACUUUCACUUUGCGCGACGCAUUCCUUGUUUCGUCGCGCGAGUUCAAGAUUGUGAUUGAAAUUUUCACUAAGUGUUCAAAGGGGAUGGAGGUGUGAAAACGGUCACCCAGAUUGCGCGACGAACCUGGGACUUUUCCGUCGCGCAAUCUAUCACUUUGCGCGACGCAUGACUUGUUACGUCGCGCGACUUCAAGAUUAUGAUUGAAAUUUUCACUAAGUGUUCAAAGGGGAUGGAGGUGUGAAAACUGUGACCCAGAUUGCGCGACGAACAUACUAUGUUUCCGUCGCGCAAUCUAUUUCAAUUUCACUUUAAGCGACGGUUAUAAAUAUUCGUCGCGCAAAACCUAGACCCUAAACCCUUGUAAACCCUAAGCCCUAAACCCUAAACCCUAAAAUAGUUUCAAUGAUCCAACCGGCAAACUUAUUUUUUGAUACUUGGAGAUCAUAUACGCCAAAAAUCAAAAAGACCAAACAUUCAGAUAUCAGGGAACGGGACUAAAUAUUUCGACGGUUAUAAAUGAAAAGUCAUGAUUUAACGGUUAUUUUAACUCCGAUUUUGAUCAUUUUUUACAGAAACAUUUGUUGACCCUAUAUGAAUACAAUGACUGAAUUUGAUCUUCAAUUUCAUAUUUUUACACUAGGGGAUACCACAUAAACGUUUAAGUUACAUUUUCACAAAUGUAUGAACAAAUUUUAGGGUUUUUGGUGAAUAUAUGAUUUUGAUAGCACACGCAUUCUACGAAACAAGUUUCAGUCAUCCAGCCGUCAAACUUGUUUUUUUUGACUUCGAGAUCAUAGACAGCAAAAAUCGGACAAAAAAAACAUUCAGAGAUUAAGUAACGGGGUAAAACUUUUUGACGGUUGUAAAUAAAAAGUGAUGAUUGAACGGUUAUUUUAACUCCGAUGUUGAUGAUUUUUUGCAGCUACAGUCCUACACUCCAUAUGAAUACAAUGAACUACUACGAUCGCCAAUUUUAAAUAUAUAUGUGUGUAUAUAUUAUACUAUAACGUUACCUAAUAUAUAUUUGCGCGACGAUAAGGAACCCUUCGUCGCGCAAGGAUUUGGCGCCAUAAAUCAUCAUUUAAUUCAAAUUGUGUAUGCUUUGUAUUUUUUGGAAAGGUUUUGUAUUCAUCAAUUUUUAUGCUUUGUAUUUUUUGGAAAGGCUUUGUAUCUCUCAAUCAAGCUUUUGAGUUAAUUCAGCCAUGGCUUCUCUUCAUGACACUCCAACAUCUUCCGCUCACAUACCCCACUUCUUCAAGAUCAUUCUAGAUGACACUUCUAAAAACAUCAGAAUUGUAAGCAUCUCUCUCUCUCUCUCUCUCUUUCUCUCUCUCUCUCUCUAUGCUAAGAAUGUUUUCUGAUUAUUGAAAUAUUCAUUUCUUUUGUUAUUUUUAUUGAAGCUUUAACUUGUUCUGUUCUGCAGAAAAUUCCAAUGAAGUUUGUGAUGAAAUAUGGAGAAUGAAUACACAACUACAUAUGGACAACUACAUAUAUUCAAAGAUUUGUAUUACACAAAAUGAAUACACUAACAUAAUAAAUUUACAAAUAAAUUCAUUAUUCAUCAUCUGAACUAUAAUAACUUUCGUUAUCGUCGCUAUCAUCACUCUCGGUCUCCCAAUCUUCUUCUCCCUCCUCCUCCUCUAUAACUGCAUCAUCGGCGUUGCUAGGGCCCACUGCAACAUCGUAUCGGUGAAGAUCACCGAGGUCAAUUGUAAUUGACUGAAUCGGUAUUUCGACUGAAGACACUCCUUCUAUUUGAAACGGUUAUUGUAUAACAUUUGUAUCUCGAAGUGUUUCCGCAUCAUUUUCCAUUGAAGAUUCUAAACGUUGGUCAGCCACAUUGUCGACGUCGUUGUCACUUGGGUCUAGUUCUGGUAUAUCAUACACGUUCCUAUGAUCCAUCUUCUGCACAACUUUCCACCUGUUCCCGGCUUUAGGGUCAUCUAGAUACACAAUUUGGGACGCCAUGUUUGCCAAAAUGUACGGGUCGUCAUCAUACCAAGUUCUGUUAAUGUUCACAGACAGUACUCCAUGGUCGAUUUUAACACUUCCCGCCCUAUUUGGGUUGGUAUCGAACCAUCGACACUUAAACAUGAUGACUUGGUAUCGAUCUUUGUAAAGCAAUUGCACGACAGUUGUCAGUUUGCCAUAGAAAUCAAUGUCCGUACUUUCGCCUCCACCUGGGACAUGGACACCGCUGUUUUGCGUACACAACUUGUCAUCUCGUGCGGCCCCCAAAAAUUUGACGCCGUUAACAUUACAACCCGAGAACAAUUCAGCGCGAAUUGGGCCGAACGCCAAGUUAUAUAACUCAUCACUGUAAGUAGGGGAAUUCGAUGAUUUCAAUUUAUUCACCUAAUAGUAUACAAAACCAAUUACAUGUUAGUCUGAUAAAAUUAAAUACUACAAUUUAUAUUUGUCAAAUACAAAACACACAGAUUCCAAAAACCAUUGUGGAAAUAAUUCACGUUGUUUCUGGGCAACUAAAUGUGAUGGAUGUUCUCGCUUCAUCAUCUCUUCAUGCUCAUCUAAGUAUGCCAUUAUCUCAUCACAAUUGUUCAGUACGAACCAAUACGCUACUUCCAUGUCAUUUCUAGAAAACGACUCCCCUCGUCCAGGAUCUCCAAAGGGCCGUGCGCUUUGGGCAAAAACAGAAAGUUUUUCCUUUCUUAUACCUCCGUCGUUAUUACGCUGAGGACGAUUGAAAGCCGUCUCCACAUCUUUUAAAUACAUUCCACAGAAAGUAAGCGACUCAUAUUGAACCCAAGCCUCUAUAAUUGAUCCUUCGGGCUUCGCCCUGUUGCGUACACUUUUUUUCAGCUCUCCGAGAAGCCUGUCAAAAUAAAAAGAUAUGAUACAAAUUAGCAAGCCUGUGAUAAUGAUGCAUACACAAACGAAAAUGAUUAUAUACCUUUCUAUUGGAUACAUCCAGCGAUAGUUGACAGGACCAGCAAGCAAUGCCUCUUCUGGCAAGUGAACCAUCACGUGCAUCAUACUUGUGAAGAAAGCUGAAGGAAAUAUCAUCUCAAACUUGCAUAGGACUUGGACAAUGUCAUGGCGCAACUGAAACAUGUCCGUCUUUCGCAAUGUUUUUGCCGUCAGUUGGGAAAAAAAUCUGGAUAACAAGAUAAUUGGCUUCACCACAUCUUCCGGCAGUAGGUGUCGAAUACCCACAGGAAGUAAGCGUUGCAUAAACACAUGGCAGUCAUGGCUCUUAAGUCCAGUAAAUUUACCCCCAUCGACAUUCACGCAACGUGCGAUAUUAGAAGCAUACCCAUCGGGAAAUUUGACAGACGAUACAAACUUUAGAAACUCUUUUUUGUCAUUCGGUUUCAUAGAGAAGAAUGCAAGAUCCCUUCUAGCUUUAUCACUGUCCCUAUUCAUCCAUAAACCCCUUCGUAUGCCCAUUCUUUCCAAAUCAAGACGAGCUUUGAUCGUGUCCUUCGUCUUCCCCUCGAUAUCUAGAAUCGUGCCCACCAAUGUGUCGAAUACAUUUUUCUCAACAUGCAUCACAUCUAGAUUGUGCCUCAAUUUCAGUUUCGACCAAUAUGGGAGCUCAAAAAACAUAGGCUUGUGCGUCCAGUUCAAAUGUGUAGAAGGUCUGGUCCGACUAACUGUUUUCCCGAACGGAGCAAAAUCCAAACGGUUCAGCUGUUCCAAGAUCUCAUCACCGGACCAUUCUCUAGGUCUGAGGCGACGCUCUGUGUUCCCGUCGAACUCUUUAUCUUUUUCUCACCACUCGUGGUCCCAUGGCAACCAUCUCCGAUGACCAAGGUAACAAACUUUUCCCGCGUGCCAACCAGAAGUUACAUCUUCCUUGCAUACAGGACAUGCCAUAUAACCCUUUGUGCUCCACCCAGAAACCAUUGCAUAUGCUGGAAAAUCAUUCACAGUCCACAUAACUGCUGCUCGCAAAGUGAACAUCCUCCCAGUUGAUUUAUCGUACGUGCGAACACCGUUUUUCCAUAAAUCCUUCAGCUCAUCAACCAGAGGCCUUAAGUACACAUCAAUUGACCUGCCAGGAUCCUCAGUUAUCAAAACAGUCAUCAUCAUGUAUUCUUUUUUCAUGCAUUUCCAAGGCGGCAAAUUAUAUGGGAAUGCGAAAAUCGGCCAAGUGCUGUGGUGUUGGUUUAGAACCCCAUACGGAUUGAAUCCGUCAGUGGCAAGUCCCAAUCUUACAUUUCGGGGAUCAGCAGCAAACUCGGGGAACGUUCGAUCGAACUCUUUCCAUGCCUCCCCAUCUGCAGGAUGCCGCAUCACAUCAUCGUCUACCCGUUUUUCCUUAUGCCAUCUCAUGUCUGUGGCAGUAUGCGUCGACAUAUACAAUCGCUGCAACCUAGGUUUAAGGGGCAGAUAACGCAUGACUUUUUGUGGUAUCUUAGUCGUUCUAUUCUGGGAUGUCAUUUUGAACCUCGACUCAUUGCAUAUAGGGCAUGUAUCCAACGUUUCAUGCUCUUUGUAGAAUAACAUGCAAUUGUUUUUGCAAGCGUGGAUUUUUUCAUAACCCAAUCCAAGACCGUGCAACACCUUCUGUGCAUGUUUAUGGUCUUUCGGCAAACAAUUGUCCGUUGGAAGCAUUCUCUUGAAAACCCCCAAAAAGUAAUCGAAACACAAGUUCGACAUACGAUACUUUAUUUUUCCAUGCAUUAGCUCCACAAUGGCAGUGAGAACGGAAAAGCUCUCGCACCCCGGGUAUAACUCUUGGUUGGCAUUUUUUAACAGUUUUUCAUACUGUUCAAACUCCGCACUGUCUAUUGGUGUAGGCACGUCAUCUUCCCCUUCCUGAUUGAUGUUGGUCGAUGCGAAUGGAAAAGCAUCCUGUAUAAUACCCAUGACUUGAUCAUUAGGAUCCACAAUAGGUUCAACAUUGUCCACUCUUGGGGCAUUUGAAGACGAAGCAUGGUCUACUUGUUCGCCGUGAAGGUUCCAAAUGCUAUAUGUUUCAAUCAUUCAAUUCCUUACUAAAUGAAAUCCAACAUUUUCAAUUGUCUCCCACAACGUGUUGUUACACCUCCCACAAGGACAACGGAUUCUAGUUGCACCCGGGUUGUGUCUACGUGCAAACUCAAUAAAAUCCUCGAUUCCAUCCAAGUAUUCGUCUGCGCAUCUAUUCGAGUUCUGUAUCCACCUUCUGCUCAUAAUUCCUGAAACCACAAUCACGACACAACAAUCACAACAACUUCAUACGAAGUUAUAAUGUCACCUUAUGCCUCCGGUAAGGGCCCUAUCCCAUUCGGGAAUGCAUAGUCCUGUCACGUAACCUACUGCUACAUGAGAUUAGAUUUCGACGUGGAUUAAUUUCGGCAGCAUCUCGACACAGUUCUUGAAGUGGGCAUAGGUAUAAAUACCUACGUACCACCCGAAGAACGUACCGAGAUGACACCGAAAUCUCCACAAUCGAAACCUAAUCCUGUAGCCAAAGAUUAUGUGACAACACUAUGCAUUACCAAACUGUCCAAAUAAUGGGACAAUUCAAGAAUUAAUUGGACCGCAGUCAUGCAUUACGCAUCCAUGCACGAAAUCCAACUAAUCUCGAACGGGAAACUACGUGUUACUAAACAUAAAAAUAAAAGUACGAAGUUAAUUUCAAUUAACUUCGUACAUCACAACACAUUGUGCUAUGUCACGCACAAUUUCACAACAUUAUACACAUAUAACUUCACAAAAAAAUUACAAACAUAACAAACAAACUUUUACAAUAACAUACCUUCUCAAUCGUUCUCCACCAAUCACCAAUCACAAAUAUCCCUAACGAUAACAAAAUUAAUAGCGUUACUACGAAUUUACAUUAAUACAUUUAAACUAACGACAAAAAAUACAUACCCAAUGAACGUACUGAAUUCACAGCAGAGCAACGGUAGGGAGAGUGAGAGAGAGGCAGAAUGCAAUGGGAGAGUGAGAGAGAGGCAGAAUGCAGAAACUGCAUUCUGCCUCUGCAAUGGCAGAUACUAAUAUGAAGAAGAAGGACUUUGCACGACGAACAACCCAAUCCGUCGCGCAAAAUGCCGUCGCGAAAACCCACUUUUCCGUCGCACAAAACAACAUUUCCGUCGAGCAAUUACCUGUCGACAUCUGCUUUUUUGCGCGACGAAUAACAUUAUCCGUCGCACAAAAGUUCGUGGCGCAAGGUUUAUAUUACGUCGCGCAAAUUAUUUAUUUCGUCGCGCAAGAAAGCACCGGCAUUACACUUUACGCGACGAAGGUAAUUCCGUCGCGCAAAAAAAGUUUUAUCCACCCUGCAUUUUGCCGCCAAAAAUAAGUAUCCCUCGUUUUCUUACGCGACGGUACGUGUUUCCGUCGCGCUAAGUUGUCUUUUGCGACGAAAACGUUCGUCGCGCAAAGUUUUUUACCGCAAAAAAAAUUAGACAAUUUUCUGUCCAUCUUUACGCGACAAAAUCUUUGGAUUGUCGCGCAAUAUUGUCAUGCGCGACGAUUGUUGUCGUCGCGCAAGAUUCUGGCGCAAAAAAAAAAACCGGGGUUUUUUCCCCGACCUUUGCGCAACGAAAUUAGUUUUGGUCGCGCAUAGAUUGUUUGCGCGACGAAGAAAUUUCGUCGCGCUAGUGUUCUGUUGUUUGCGCUACGGUAUUUUUUUUUCGUCGCAAUAGUGAUUUUUGCGCGACGAAAACAUGUUCGUCGCGCAAACUUCCGUCGCAUAAAUAGUAAAUCGUAGUAGUCUCCAUUCUGCUGAGGGGUAUAGGCCAUUGUAAGCUGCCUUUGAAUGCCAUUAGCUUCACAGAACUCCAAAAAAUCAGUAGACAGAAACUCUCCACCCCUGUCACUUCUUAUGCACUGCACCUUGUGUCCAGUUUGUAAUUCAGUCAUGGACUUGAACUUCUUGAAACAAUAGAAGGCUUCUGACUUGUUUCUCAAGAAGUAUACCCAAAUCAUUCUUGUGAAAUCAUCUAUAAUCAGCAUAAAAUAUCUGUUCCUUGCAACAGACUCAUUUCUCAUGGGACCACAGAGAUCCACAUGUACUAGCUCUAGUACUUUGCUUGCUCUUUGAGCUUGAUCUUUUAGAAAAACAUUUCUGUGCUGUUUUCCAAAUUGGCACCCUUCACACACACCACUUUGUUCUUCCAAUUUUGGUAAACCAUGUACCAUUUCUUUAUCCCUUAGCUGCUUCAAUCCUCCAAAAUUCAGAGGACCAAGUCUCUUGUGCCAAAUCCAUGUGGAUUGAAGAAAACUAGUCUUCAUUAGUAACUGUUUUUCAACCAGAAAAGAGACAGGAUAGCAUCUGUUACUCUUCAUUUGCACCUUUAUGAUGAGAUAAUCCAUGGAUGGGCUAUCAAAUACCCUGCACAUCCCUUCUCCAAACACCAGACAGUACCCAUGUUCAUCCAUCUGCCCAACACUUAGCAGAUUUUCUUUCAAUCCUGGCAGAUACAUUACUUCUCUGAUGUAUUUCCUGCCCUUUGCUGUAUCAAUACUCAGUGAGCCAAUACCAGCUACACUCACUAGUGGACUAAUUGGCAUUUGUACUCUCCCAGCUACAUUAGUUCUCACAUCAACCAGCAAUUCUAAAUUUCCUGUCAUAUGAUUGCUGCAGCCACUAUCAAUAUACCAUUCAUUGGUUUUGAUCUCAGUGGUUGAGCAAUUGGCAUAAAACAGGUUUCCUGUAACCUCCAUUUGACUUACACAAUUAGCCUUCUGCACAUUUUUGCUCACUGUACAGUCUCUAGCAAGAUGUCCAAAUCUGUCACAGCUAUAGCAUUUUGGUUUUCCCUUAUACCUGCACUCACCAAAGUGAUGCUUUGAACACACCUUGCAUUGAGGCUUUGUGUUUUCCUGAUUUGAGAACUGUGUUGAAGUGUGGUUCUGUGCAGAAUAAUUAUUCUGCUGUGACUUGUCUUUUGCCUCCCAUGACUUCCCUUUAGAGUUCCAGCUUCUCUGUGACUUAGAUGAACCAGACUGAGAAGUAUUUUUGUUCUGACCCUUUGAAUUCACAGUGAAUGAGGCAAAUGCCUUCUCAGCUGUAUCAACACUAUGCAUUUCAAGCCUUUGCUCCUGACUCUUCAAAAUAGCAGUUACUUCCUGCAAAUCCACAGUUUCUAGUGUCUUUGUGUUUUCAAUCAUAAUGCAUAUAGGGUCAUACUUCUUACUUAGACUAAUUAACACCUUUUGAACCUGCCUCUCAUUUGACAGAACUUCACCAAAUGUUUUCAUUUGGUUAAUCAAUUCAGUUAGUCUAGUAAGAUAUUCAGAUAAGGUUUCACUAUCACGCAUCCUAGUGUAUUCAAAUUCACGUCUAAGGUUUUGAAGCUUUACCGAUCUAACAUGCUCUCCACCAUGAUAUUCUGAGUACAGCAGAUUCCAAGCCAUCUUUGCAGAGUCAGCAUUUGCAAUUCUGGAAAAAAUCUGAUCAGAAACAGCAUUUUGAAUGAUACCAAAGGCCUUCGCAUCCUUCAUGAGAAUCGCAGCUGUUUUCUCAUCAACUUCUUCUUCUGAACCAUCCUCAGAUUCCUUCUUCGUCUUUGAAUCUAGGAUUAAAAACCCCUUUUCUACCAAACCCCAUAAACCAUAUGAUCUGAAUAUGGUUACCAUCUUAAUCCUCCAAAAUUCAUAGUUCUCACCUGAGAAAAUGGGGAUUCUAGCCUCUGAACUUCCAAAUCCAGCCAUUACGAAUUUCAGAUUCACCUGGAAACAAGAUGUCUUCAGAUUCGACCCUUGAUCGAGCUCAAUCAGCUUCGUGAGCUUAGAAUGAGCUCACCUCGAUCGAUUUUCUUCACAGAACAACGCCCAGCUUUAGAUAAUCCAACCUGGCUCUGAGGCCAUGUUAGAGUUUUAGGAUCUGUGUAUGAGAUUUUGUGAGAAGAGAGAAGAGAAUUUAAGAAAACUUGAAGAAAUCCAAAACUGCUCUGCUAUACGUGUAGCAGAGAGAACAUUCUCAUUAGCUCAGAUUUUCAGUACUACAACACACUCUUAGUGUGAGGAGAAAUAACCGUUAUGCACAGUACCAGCUGGAUGCAUUUUAUCAAAGCAAUCUCAGCCAUUCACUAUCUAACCAAUCAAGCUAUGACACCUGGACUAAGUAUAAAGAAAUACAAAUAAGCAGAAAACAAAACUCUUAAUCCUGAAAUCAACUUAAGCACUUAUAAUUCAACAAAUUUUGCACUCAUCUUCACCUAAAAUUACAUUAAAAUAAGAAAAGGGGGUGGAGUAGAUGUUAGUUUGACAAGAUUGUGUAGCUCGUGAUGCGACUUUAGGCAUUUGGACUUUUGAAUACAGAUUAAACGAAUACAUAAAUCAAACUUGGUAAGUGAUUAUUUACACAUCUGACUUACAAAGGGUGGGGAUCGAUUCUAACUUAACUAGGUUGAGGUGAUUUCAAAUUUAAAUUUUCAUAACGAUGCUUAGUACAAACUGAAAGUGAUUUCAAAAGUAAAAGGUAAGGAAAGUUUACCUGUAACAUCAACAAAGACAUCAUGUGUUAGUUUGUGCAUGCGAUAAUAUCGAUAAGCAAAAAGAGCCCCAAUCAAAAGAAUUACUGUUACACCACAACUUGCCGAAGUUAUAACCGUUCCAAGUUUUGAUUUCUUGGUUGAAACUGCCAAAUUUUAAAAUCUUAGGUUAUUCCUAGGUAAUUCAAACAUAGUUGGUAAACUGAAAUAGUAGAGUUGUACAAAGAAUAAACCUCGGAGAACAGAGCCAGAAGCACAAGGCUGCUUCAAGCUAGAACCACAAGCAAGACGUGCUCCUGUAAAACUGUAAGGAUAAAACAAUUAAUAGCAAACCAUUAAGGAUAUAUAAUAUAACUACUGGACAAGUAUACAGUAAGUUGCAAAUUAUAGAAUGUAGACGCAAUGCUGAAGGAAAAUAUUAUAAUAACGGAAAGGUCAUCUAGAACCAAAUUACACAACAUUGGAACCAAAGACGCCAUUUUUUAUUAUAAUAAGUAGGAAUUUAAGCAUUUGAAAAAUAAUAUAUAUACAUCCAAAAUGACACUCGUGCUUGAUGAAACUAUUAUAAGUGGCAGUCCAGAAGUCAGAUCCUAUACCUCGAACUUACUGUAAUAGAAGAAGAACUAAACUCGUCUCUUAAUGACCAUAGCACCAUUUCAUGAUAAAGACAUUAUCAUACAUCUUUAGUGCUGGAACUCUCUCAAACCUCUUAGUCAGCCCAGUCCUACACCAACAGUAGGGGUGGGCGAAACCAGACUGAACCAGACCGAACCGGCUAGUUUGGUUAGGAUUUUGACAAAAAUUAAGGUCAUACGGUUCAAAAUCCAACUCAGUUCAGCUGGUGGUUUCAAUUCCCUCAGGAACGAGAGAACAUAACCGAAUAAUUUCUCACUCUUUUUAUUAAUUCCACCCGUAUCCCUCCUAGAUAAUCAUCUUUUUCCCCUAGCUCUAGCCACAUAAACCUAUCUCUCCAGUGAAGGAAUUAAACAAAGACAUCCUUCGCAUAACUCCUUUAGCAUGCAGACAAACACAAAACAAGGAUGUAUUUAAAAAUAAUAUAAAUUAUAUGAGUAUGAUAUAUAUAUAUAUAUAUAUCCAAUUUUCUAUAACAGGGUUAACCGUACUUACGGAUAACCAAGGUCGCCCGACCAGUGCAUGUUGGUAAACUGGCCGUGCAAAAUCUCUUACAAUAAGAAUUCGUACUUAUUGCUGAUGCCAAUACAUCAAUACAAGGGAAUAUAAAAGGAAAUGAGAAUCAGAGUUUAAUGGGAUUUACUUGAAUUUUGGAAUUGUAAAGAAUUGCAUUGGAACUCUUCCGGUUAACUCAUUCGAUGAAAGAUCCCUGCCCAAAAAAAAAAGGAAUUUAUAAAUGGUAAAGAAUUUCACACAGUGUGCAAGCUCAGAUAGGCAUGCAAUUAUAUUUAGGCAAUAAGUCAAACAGCAGGAUUGCGAAAAAAAGGAAUUGCUUACAGUUCAGUCAACCCGCUAAUGUUUGAAAGUGAAUCCGGAAUAUGUCCAGAUAUGUGGUUACCCCUCAAUACCCUGAAGCACAGGUGAGAUGAUUAAUUUUUCUUUUCUGGAGAACAGGAAAGUGUUCACAAGAUAGUACUUUCCAAUAUAAACAGUUGUAGAACACUCAGAUAAGACAACAGCAUAAGUAACUGCUACAGAUCAAGGCAAUUCCCCAAUAAAUACAAGAACAUUUUACAUAUAUAGACAAAAAAGAAAGUUGGAAUCUUUUAGGAAGGGAAAUGCAGCCUUACAAAUGCUUUAAAUUGGACAGUUGACCCCAGGUAUUGGGUAUAGGACCUCUGAAAUUAUUGUUUGCAAGAUUUAGUUUCUGUAGUUGUGUCAUGUUGGCAAGAUAAAUGGGUAACAGGCCCGUUAGACUAUUAUCCUGGAAGUCCCUGCAUAAAUAAAGUUAUUUUAUCAAAAUUCAGAAGGAUUUUGGGACCACGGAUGGUGUUUCUGAGUAGGUAGUACUGAGACGAAUUCGUAGACAUGCGGUAGGCUUGAAUCGGAAUUGUAACGAAAAAAUUACGGGCAAAACACUAUCAGUGGCAAAACUGUAAAUAUUUCAAAAAGUUUGGUAAAAAUUAGAUUUUUCACCUCAGCUCUCUCUCUCCUCGUGCGCGCUCGACACUCUCUCUCUCCUCAGUCUCUCUCUCUCCUCGACACCGACUCUCUCUCUCCUCGGUUCUCUCAGCUCCGGCCACGGCAGGACAAGAGACCGGUCCCGAUCGAUCCACCUUGAUGUCCCGAUCAAGACCUGCCCGUUUUCCCCGUCGGAAACCACGAACUCCGGCUGCGAGCUCGACUGUUUUGAACCGGAGCUUUCUCGCUGCUGCCUCCGCCGCCCAAACCCGGUGAGUGAGCUAUGGUUUCUCAUCCAUUUUUCGAGCCCUAGCUGACUGUUGUAUAGGUUUGGACCGAUUCGUUGUCUAGGAAAUCGAUUAGAAAAUCUAGGUUUUGGCCGGAUUUCAAAAUGAAAUUUCGGCCAGUUGCCGCCCGAAUUGGACCUUCCCAUAGUUGAAUGAAGUGAUCCUGACCUUGAGUAGAAGCUAGGGUAGGAAGGGUGAGCUCGGGUGUGAAGUUUUUCCGUUCCCGGAAUUACUCUACACACCCACGCACUGCCGGCAUGUGGACAAGGCUGGUGAGGUUGUAAAUUAACCCGAUGAGAUCCUUAGGUUGUCACGAGAGCAUAGGAAUUCGCGGAUCUCAAUUCGGAUGUCGUUUGGCUAUCGAACGAAUUUUCGCAUAUUGUGCGUUAUCCAGGUUCGAUAGGUUCCGACCGUUAGAUCUUUCCCGAAUUAAAAUAUGUUGUUCUAGGUAUUCCUAGGACCAUAUGGGACUUCACGAAUUAUGAAUCGGAGCCCCAGAUGUUCCGAUUCAAUAAUGCAAAGUUUGCGGGUUAACGAUAACCGUAAAAUCGCGAACGAUUCCUAAACCUGUAAUCGGACCUUAGGAUACCUUCUUCAAUGUGCACGUAUGGGGAAUUUGGGAUUUAAGCAUUCAAUUUGUGAUUUUCGCUUCGACGUAAUUUUAUAUUAAUUAACGGUUCGUAUCUCGAAAUAGGUGUUUCGACUGCACGUACUCAGCAGGCAGGACCCUCACGUGGUCAGGAAGCGUGGGAAUACUUGUGAGUGGACUUUGUUUUCAAUCAUAUGCAUGGUUUUAAUUGAUGAAAGAUUUUUGCAUAAUGUUUUAAUGGCUUAUUGAAUAUAUAUUAUAUUCAUGAGUUGAUUAUGUUGGUUGUAUAGCGCUUGGCAAUAUAUUGUGAGUUUGGCAUUGUGGGUUUUGAGAGUGCAUUUUAUAUGGUUGUGGAGAAGUAUAUUUAUAUAUUCUCUAUAGACGAGAUACUUGGGUUGUUGAAGGGUGUUGUGGAAGAAUUUGAUUUUUGAGAGAAGUUGUAUGAUUACACUAUGUAAGUACCUUCCCCAGUUAUCAGUCUCACUCGCGGCGUUGGAUGUUCCGGCGUGUAAGACACUUUCCAUAUGUGGCGUUGGAUGUUCCGGCGUAUGAAAAGACUUUGUAUAGUGUUUAGGGUCAUCACCAUGGCGUUGGAUGUUCCGGUGUGUGCUGAUCCAGUCUGCGCGCGUAGGACAUAGUUUAGGAGCUACACAUGGCGUUGGAUGUUCCGGUGUGAGAGCUUUGGAGUUUCGUCCCCCGGUUGGACCGCUCAUCCCUAGACACAGGAUAGCACCUGAAAAUCCUACGGACUAGUCAAACGAUCCCCCAGUUGGAUUGUUUCCCCGGUACCUAGGUGGUGUGAUGAGUAUAUCGUAUAGCUAUUUAUAGUUAUAUAUAUAUGUAUAUUUUUAUGUAUACGUAUAGUUGAGUGAGUGAAGAAUUAGAGUUUUUCGGUGGUUUGACAGGAGUUGUAAGAUUGAGAGAAUGGGAUUCUUUUUUAAGGAGAUAACUGGUGUUUUAGAAUAGUUUUAAUGAAUGUUGUUUUGAGUAAUUAUUUAUUGAAUUGUGAACCUGCAUGACUUGAGCAUUAUUUUUACAUGGUGGGGUUACUAUAUUGUUUUUAACUGCAAAUCUGGUUUUUGUCCACUCACAUAUUUUCUGUUUUGCGCACCCCAGCCAGUAGUCGGUCCAGGAAGCAUGCAAGUGGUGUACGAGGCUCGAACUGUGAAUCUUUCUAGUUAGGAACUGAGUAAUUUCUUCUACUCAACUGUUCUUGUAAUCUAAAUUCAGAAGAUAUUCUGUAUUGCCCAUGGUAGAUUUUACUUGUGAGGCCGGAGGCCACUCUAGUAUGACUUGUAGAAUUAAGAAAGCAUGCUGCUGGUUGGGAUUUUUAUUUUAUGUAUGUUGCAGGUUGAAUAGUUUUUGUUGGGAUUGCUUAAUUACAGGGGAGACUCUGCCAAAUUUUUGGUAGAAUGUCUCGGUUUCUUAGUAAGUGGGCCCGGCAUCAGGAAGAUGUCGGAAUAAAGACGGGGUCCACUUCGGUUUUCGGGAAAUUCCGAGGCGGGUCCUGUCACUCUCUCUCUCUCUUGGUACCAGAGCACAAACUAGUGAUCCAAAUCAGGUUUCAGCCAAUGGAUUAUGUUACAUUUUCUGACACCAUCAGCCCCAGAAUACUAAUGCAUCAAGAAGUUGACUUACAGGCUAGCCAAAAAUUUCAGUUUAGUAAUCGAAGGAGAAAGCGUUCCAGAAAAUCCAUUUGAUGCCAGGCUCCUGCAAAGUAGUACAUUCACAAACUAAAUGUACUGCAAUGAUAAAUGAUUUUCAAAGAUGGCGAUAUUAAUAAAAUAUAUAUUUUUCAUGAUCAUAAAAUUUAGUUUAACUUACAGGGAUAUGACAUUUCCAUUUCUACAAGUGACAUGAGACCAGCUAAAACAGGGGCUAACGAGAUUAUUAUUCCAAUCUGUUAUUCGGCCACUGGAAUCAUUCAGUGCCCUAAGCAAAUCGAUCAAUGCUUCACCUGCACAUUAUCGUAAGUGAAGAACGAAAUUGUAUGUAGAACCAUAAAUGGCCGGUGAAAAGAACUUUUGUUUAUAUUACAAUUCUGAUAAAUGAAAAAUGAAAAAUUCUUGGACUUAGGUAAGGCAGAACACAGAAACCAUGUGAGCACGGCAGUAGAUAAGGUAGAACACAUAAAGCCUGUGAGCACGAUAGUAGAUAAGGCAGAAGCAAUGACAAAGGGCAAGGCCACAGCAACAACAACGACAAUGACCACAUCAACGGAAAGCAAAGCAAGCAAAGACAACAUCAACGGUGGCAACAUCGACCACAACAGAAACACACCAGCAAAGGCAUAAGCAACAAUACUAGCACCAUAACAUGCAUGAGCAACAAUACUGGUACCGAACAACAGCAAUAUAAGGCACUGGCACCAGCAAGAGCAUUAAGGCAGGGACAUAACAGGCAUCAUCAACAGUAAUCAACAUUGUCCCCAACAAGAGUCAUAAUAGGCAGGAGCAAUAAUAUUGUCCCUAACAAGAGACAUAACAGGGAUGAGCAACGGUACUGGCACCAGCAAAGGACAUAGUAGUCAGUAGCAAUAACAAUGACAAAUACUUCCAUUAUCGCACAAACAACUUAUCUUCACUCCCCCUCUUCCCCUGAAGAGAACGGGUCAUCAGAACCAUAAGAGAAGUGGCACUUAAGAAACAGAAGUUGACUGACGCUCAAAUGUAGAAGAAUCAGUCAUGGCAGAUAGGUAGCUAAAUUGCAGUGGAAUAGAUAAGCAGCGAUGUCACUCCCCCUCAAAUCCGACGAUGUAUGAGAGUCGAGAUUUGGAGAAAGCAAUACCGAAAAAUAAAGUUGCAGCACCCAAAUAAAGUUGCAUCUAUUUCCCCAUCAAAUCUGACACUGGUAAAGGGUCGAGAUUUGGAAGAAGAUAAAUUGAAAUAAUAGUAAAGAGACUCAAACAUGCCAGUCUCGUGGCAGAAACAAAUGCAAGAGGGGAAGGUGGUAGCAUACGGCUGUCCCAUGUAGAAAAAACUUUAGAAAAAGAGAAUAGUAAGGGAGGAAACCCAACAAAUCAUGAACAAAGACAAAGACAAAGAUAAGGUGCUCAAACAGGAAUUAGAGCAAAGGACACCGAAAAAAGGAAACCUUUCAUGUGUGGAAUAGGAAUAGAUAGAGUGCCCAUCAAAGGGAAGCAAUAUUAUAUAAGGGAGUUGUGAAAGCGAGAGAUAAUGCAGUGAGAAAACAACAAAAUGGAAAAGGUUGGUAAAAGAAAGAUGAGAAAUAGAGAGGACCUGAAAAGAGUUUGGUUGCAUAGCAGGGGAAACCACAUCGAUAGAUCAAAGAGGAAGAAACUAAAGAUAUUUAAAAAGUAAAGCAUGGGAAAUUGCAUGUGACAAUUUUUAAAAAGAAACUAGUGGAAGAAAGUGAGGUGCUAGAACCGAAAAAAGCAUAGAAUAACGCUGUGAUUGAAGGAAAAUAAUGACAAAGGAAGGUAUCUGUGAGGAAAUAGACAAACAGAGAAAGGGAUGAAUAUUGGAAAGAGGCCAAAGGUAGAAAGAAAUAAGCAUAAGGGUAAAAGGGAAGGAGAUAGAAAAAUAAAUAAUAAACACCCAACGGGAAAGGCUAGAGUGACAAAGCUGGAGAGAUGGCGUGGGGAAAGAACACAACAAACACCAGCCAUUGGGCAUAGACAAACAAAAGAGAUAAACAUAAAUAAAAGAGAGCUAAAUAGAGCAAAGAGAGAAACAAAGAAAGGGUGCUCAAAACUGAGAAGCAGAAAGGCAACUCAAGAGAACAGCCGAAGACGACAGAGAUUUGCAGAACAGUCAAAGGAAAGGCUCGGCGAGUGGUGACAAGGCUCGUGGAGGAAAGCAACGGCUCAGUGAGGGGUGAUGAGGCUCACGGAGUAAAAAGACCUGUUAUGAAGUUUCAAAGAUAAAGAAGCUGGGACAUCAAGAAAGACCAUCUGGCAUACAAAGAUUAAAAAUUAAAAAAUUUGGAACAAUAGCAAAGAAGCAUGUGAAGGCUAGGUGUGGUGAAAACACAUAUGAGAGGAUUGAUCAAAAGAAGAUGACUAUACAAGAUGAAGACCUAUGAUGGGUUAGGAAUGAGGAGUGCCAACGACUCUCAAUUUGACAGAGGUUAUCACAUGUUAGAAACUAGGCUCUGAUACUAUGUCAAACAAAGUAGGGUAAAUAUUCAAUUAUGCUCAGAUACGCUCAUAUUUUUACUCUUCUCCAAUAUGGAGGUAUUUAUACAAGUACAAAGCUGUGUUAACCCUAAAUAAAAUAAGAAAUAUAUCUAAAUUACAAUAGGAAGUAAAUCUCUAUUACAAUAGGACUAAAUAAUAAUUGAUAAGUAACCAAAAUUCUAAUAAAAUUAGGAACCAAAAUCCUAAGUAAGUAAGGAACCAAAAUCCUAACUAAAUAAGGACUUGCUAACAGCACAAUCUUGAUGCACUAUGAGAAUCGAGGCGCUGGCCACAAUGUUGGACGAUGCCAAUGCAUCUCCCAAGGGUCCGAGCUCCGGGCAGUCACCCCACUCGGAUAGCCCGAACAUGAGUGGUGAGGAACCUGUUUGCCCUCUUCCCACGAUAUAAAGAUCAUAGUCAUUUCCCAUGGCGCUUAUCAAUUUGAGAGUUUCUUCUCCAUUGUUCAACACCUCGUGAAUUAAUUUUAUGGAAGGUUGGUUCCUAGUAUUGAGCACAAAGCUCUCUAUAUAUUGGUCAUCUAGUUGUUUCUCCUUCUCAUUUUCCUCUAUCACCUCUAAAAUAUUCUUCUUUUCGUCCUCAUCAUGAUCGUGAUCAUUAUUAUUAGGAUUGUUGGGAGGGAGAUCUGAAUGAACUGCCGCAUCUUUACUGACGAUGAAAACAACCACAGUUAAGCUGAUAUUAGGUUUAGGGUUAGGAUUGCUGGCCAUCCUCCAUGCAUAUGCCAAUGCCUCGCGGUCAUCUGACCCACUAAUGAAGAGCAUGGCACAGCGGCAGCAGCCAUGGCCAUCUUCAUUUUUAAUGUUAGAUGAAUCGGUGAGUCCACGAUCCACGAAGAUGGCCACUAAACAAGAAGCGUUCUCUAGAAGGUUCUUGUUAAUGCCUCUAAAAGAGGGGUUUCCGUUGUCCAUUCCCCCGUCAAUGGUGGAUUGCUUGUGGAAAGGAAUGAUUAUGAGGUCUGCACUCUUGUCGUCCGCAAGAUUGCAAAUGUCCUCAUGCAUGGAGGCGUAAGAGGACACAACAGUUAGUGCCUCCACGAACAAGCUGCUUUCUUCACUUUCGGUCUCAAGUUUUUCAAAAGAAGCGACAAUUUGGUCAGAAGGCGAAGAGUGCUUUUGAUUUUUGGUUGUAAUUUUACUUGUCUUACGAAUAUUGCUGCAUGUGUCGUGGACUAUGAGCAUGGCAGAAGCAUGGCCACUGAGCUCCCUCAGAUGGACCGCAAAGAUGAACAUCGGGGAUUGUUUGGUGGGAUUGGAAAUCUCCAACAGAUUGAUGACGCUUGAAACAUUGCUUGUUGAAUGGAAGCAAGUAAGGAUUCGAAACUCUGAGUUGGGUUGUAUGCUUCUUAUGCUUCUGUGCGUGUGCUGCUUAGAUGGCACAUUCGACUUGUAAAUCAAAGCCGAAAUGGGUCCAACCGCUGCCGUCAUUAUCAAAAUUGCAAGCAUCAUUACUGAAAAAGUAUUGUGGUCCAAAACCUGCAUUUAUAUAUAUAUAUAUAUUUGCCAAUUAAAACAAUAUAAAAUCAGGAAUUUAACCUGCAAAAUUAUAUAUAUAUAUACACACACACAAAAGAGAGUAUUAAUUAGUUAUUAUUGUACGUUAAUUCAUGAAAAUGAAAUGGUGAUGAUGAAUAGGUAGGACCUAAAGAGAGUAGUUAGCUGAUUAGAUUAGUUUGUUAUUAGUUACUCUUGUAAGUGAUUAGUUAGAGCUGUUGUAACAGCCUGUACAGGUGGCUUUAUCUAUUGUAUAGAGUAGACAAGUGUUAUAUACUCUUCUGUAAUCUUUUCUCAAUUAAUUAAAUGAGAAUCAUAAAUUCCUUUAUGGUAUCAUACGCCUAUUCGAUCCUCUCUCCCUUUUCUUCCAACCUGUGAUUUUCUCACCAACCAAACAGUGCUUUUCUCAUCAACCAAACAGUUUCUUCCGCUCUAAUUCUCUGAUUUCCAUGGCUUCUAAGACCAAUUCUUCUUCUUAUGCGCCUUCUGUCUCUCUCACAUCGUCUUCAAUCCCUGCUUUUGCGACUGUUACUGUUCAAAACAUCGCAGGCAUGGUUCCGAUCAAACUUCAAGCUGGCAAUUAUUUGUUGUGGAAGAAUCUUUUUCUUCCUGUUCUUCGCAAAUACAAGCUCCUUGGCCUUCUCACCGGUGCUGAUCUGCGGUCGUCGAAGACAAUUGUUAACGAUGCUGGUUGCAUUGUUGAUAAUCCCGCCUUCGAUCUGUGGUAUGAUAAGGAUCAAUCACUCAUGAUCUGGAUCAUCUCUACUCUCUCGACGGAUUUGCUAUCUCAUACGGUUGGCAUUGAGUAUUCUCGUGAUCUCUGGGAGAUGUUGGAAAAACAUUUUGCUGGAGUCUCUCGUGCAAAUGUUCAUCAUCUUCGUCAGCGUCUUCAGAAUCUUGUCAAAGGGGAUCUGUCUAUGGUUUCCUAUCUGCAACAGAUGAAGGAAAUUGUUGAUGGCUUGGGCGAUGCUGGAUAUCCUCUAACUGAUGAUGAUUUGGUGGCUUACAUUCUUGCAGGUCUCUCUGAAGAGUACGAUUCCUUCGUCACUUCUAUUGAAACUCGUCGGGAAAAAGUUUCCUCUGAUGAACUUCACGGUUACCUUCUCGGUCGUGAAGCUGCUCUUCUGAAGCGCAAACUCCGAUCCAAUUCCUCUGGACCUACGGAACCGUUUCAUGCUUAUGCCGCCACUCCUCGUUCUUCACAGCACUUUUCUCGCUCACGUGGUUCCAACAACUCUUAGCACUUUUCUCGCUCACGUGGUUCCUCCCACUCGUGGUCUGCUUCCGUCACCGCCUUCCAAUUUUGCCCCAAAUUUUUCUUCUCCUCCACAAUUUGGUGCGCAAGGGUUUCACAGCCCCAAUUUUUCUCGAAAUUCAAUCCCUGGGGGUGGUAAUUCCAAUUUAGGAGGUUCUUCUUCAUUCAAUUCUGCUGGUUUUUCUUCUGGCCCUGUUCUUGUGUGUCAGUUCUGCAACAAGAAAGGUCAUGCCGCUAACACUUGUCGCAAAUUGGGCCGUCUGCUCAAUGCUUCUAGCAGUUCUUCAUCUUCUGGACCAUUUACUGGCUACUAUGCUAAUCCACAGUGUGCUGCUUCCUCUCCUUCUUGGAUUGUUGACUCUGGCGCUACUGCUCAUGUGACUGCUACUAAUCAGCACCUGCAGAAUUCUUCUCCAUUCACUGGCUCUGACUCUUUGCAAGUUGGUAAUGGUAAUUGCUUACCAAUUUCUCACACUGGUUUUACUCGCAAACACACUCCUUCUGCUGUUUUUACUUUAAAGGAUGUGUUACAUGUUCCUUCUAUUAAACACAAUUUGUUAUCGGCAAAUAAGUUUCUUCGUGACAACUCUUGUUCACUAACGCUCUAUCCUGAUUCCUUCACAAUUAAGGACUUAGCUACGAAGAGGAUGCUCUUCCAAGGUCUCAGUGAGGAUGGUGUCUAUCGACUUCCUACUGGUCCUGCAGCUCCUUUUUCAUCAAGUCCUUCAAUUGCUUUUCUGGCUAAUAAAUGUGAUAUCCUCACUUGGCACAAGAGGUUGGGUCAUCCUCACUUUUCUUUAUUUCGCAAGAUUGUUAGUGGCAAUCAUCUACCUGUUAGUGGUGACUUGUCUGAGUCCUUAAUAUGUUCUGAUUGUAUGGUUGGGAAAGCUCAUAAGCUUCCUUUUGUUAGUUCUGCACAUAAGUCCACCAAGCCUUUAGAGCUUGUGCAUUCGGAUGUUUGGGGUCCCAGUCCCACUGUUUCAGCUCUUGGUUAUAAGUACUAUGUUUUGUUUCUGGAUGAUUACACUAAAUACGGCUGGUUGUAUCCUUUGAAAUAUAAAUCAGAUGUGCUUGCAACUUUUAAAGUGUUUAAGGCCAAGUUAGAAAACUUGUUGAACUCUAGGAUCAAGAUCUUGAGGAGUGAUUCGGGUGGUGAGUACUUAAGUACUGCUUUCCAAGAUUUUUUAAACACAGAGGGUAUUGUGCAUCAGUUGAGUUGUCCACACACCCCUGAACAGAAUGGCAGUGCCGAACGCAAGCACAGGCAUAUUGUUGAGCUUGCUAGGACACUGUUUGCUUCUUCUUUCCUUCCACAUCGCUUUUGGGUAGAUGCUUUUCAAACUGCCUUGUAUCUCAUCAAUCGGUUACCCUUUACUUCUUCUGCACAGUCUCCUUGGGAAUUGUUGUUUAAACACACUCCAAAUUAUACUACUUUGAAAGUGUUUGGUUGUCUCUAUUUUUCUUGGUUACAACCAUAUAGUUCCUCAAAGUUGGAUCCUAAAAGCAGGCCUUGUGUCUUUCUUGGAUAUAGCUUAAAUCAUUCCGGUUAUAGAUGUCUAGAUAUUUCUCCUGGCAAGCUUUUUAUUUCCAGGCAUGUUCUUUUUAAUGAAACAUCUUUUCCUUUUGCAACCCAAGCUCCCUCUGUUUCAUCUUCUCCUAUCUCUGCUUCUUCAGUUCCUAUUUCUCUUACUUUUUCUUUCCCGAUUUCUCCUACUUCUCCUUCCUCUUCACAAUCCCCUAGUUCCAUUUCUCCUUCUUCUGAAUCUGUUCUUUCUUUACCUUCUCAAGAACAAAUCCUUCCUUCUCUCCCUUCUCAGGAAUCUGUAGUUCCUUCUUCUCCUAAUCGUCAUCCUAUGGUUACUCGAUCAAAAAGUGGAAUUUUAAAGCCCAAGGCUCUCUCUGCAACUAAGCACCCUAUUCCUACUUUUGUUCAGUCUACUACUUUAAUUCCUCCUACUCCUCAGACUUAUAAGCAAGCAGCAACCCACAAAGUUUGGAUUGCUGCCAUGGCCUCUGAAAUUGCUACUCUUCAAAAGACUCAGACAUGGACCCUGGUCCCUCCCAAUCCCUCUUAUAAUUUAGUGGGUUGUAAGUGGGUUUUUCGGACCAAGUUUAAAUCUGAUGGGUCUGUUGAUAAGUUCAAAGCUCGUUUGGUUGCUAAAGGGUACAAUCAACAGGAAGGUAUUGAUUUUCAUGAAACUUUUAGCCCCGUGGCAAAACCUGUUACUAUUCAUCUUUUGUUAUCCUUAGCUGUGCAAUAUGAUUGGUUCCUUAAUCAACUUGAUGUCAGUAAUUCUUUUCUGCAUGGGUUCUUGAAGGAAACUGUGUAUAUGAGCCAACCACCAGGUUUUCAUGAUCCCUCCAAGCCUGAUUUUGUUUGCAAGUUGAAUAGGAGUUUGUAUGGUCUUAAGCAGGCGCCCCGGGCUUGGUAUGAGGAGCUCUUUAAAGCACUUAUUUCUCUGGGUUUCAGAUCAUCACAAGCUGAUUCCUCAUUGUUUAUUAAGGGUGGCUCUUCUUUAAUCCUAGUUUUGGUUUAUGUCGAUGACAUUAUUGUGACUGGGAACAAUAAUGCAGCCUGUCAAGCUCUUAUUCAGCAACUCAGUGAAAAAUUUCCUGUCAAAGACUUGGGUCCUUUGCAUUUUUUCCUUGGGUUAGAGGUUAAACGCACUGCUUCUGGUUUAUUCUUGUCUCAGACUAAAUAUGCUUGUGAUCUUCUCCAGCGAACUGAUUUUCUUGGUGCCAAACCAUGUGCCACUCCCUUGGGGUCCUACAAAUUGGACAAUUCUGGAAUGUUGCUUUCUGAUCCUACUUUCUAUAGAUCUACAGUUGGUGCUCUUCAAUACUUGACAUGGACACAGCCUGAUUUGUCCUUUGCUGUAAAUUUGGUAUGUCAUCAUCUUCACCAACCUCGCACUAAUCAUUUGGGUGCUGUAAAGAGAAUCCUUAGAUAUCUUAAAGGUUCUCUUGAUAUGGGAAUCUGUUUUCGCAAAGGUCCCCUUGUUAUGCAGGCCUAUUUUGAUGCCGAUUGGGCAGGAUGCCCCUUGGAUCGUCGGUCUACUAGUGGUUGGUGUGUUUUUCUUGGUUCAAAUUUAAUUUCUUGGUCUGCCAAGAAGCAACCUACAGUUUGUCGCAGUUCUACUGAAUCUGAGUACAGAGGUAUUGCCAUGACUGCUGCUGAACUUGUUUACAUUGCUAAGCUGUUUAAAGAUAUUGGUUUUCAGCUUCCUUCUGCUCCGUUACUUUGGUGUGAUAAUCAAUCUGCCCUUCAUUUGGCUUCUAAUCCUGUUUUUAGUGCUCGCACAAAACAUGUUGAGGUUGAUUAUCAUUUCAUCAGGGAGUUGGUUCAGCAUGGUAUUCUUCAUUUACGGUUUGUUGACACUACUAAUCAGCUCACAGUUAUCUUUACAAAGUCUCUUCCUUCUGCGCCGCCACGAGCUUCUUGGUUUGGACUUGGCUCGAUGUCAUCUUCUUUGAGAAGCCUUCCGUCAUUGGAGCUGUCCAAGGAAUGAUCACUGGCCUCGUCUGCAUUACUCCUGCUGCAGGUACGAAUUACGUAAGUUCUCAAGUUGACUUUUUUCCCGCUUUUCAAACUUUGACCCAAAAAAAAACAAAGCAAAGUUGACUUAUAUUUAUCAUCCCAAUUAAUAAAAACAAAAUUAAUAUACUUACUUACUCGUCACAAAACGCAAUGCCUUCCAUUAAUUAAUCCAGAAAAAUUAAGUUUAUUUGACUUUUCACUACUUAUAUUUACGUUCCCUCACAGAACACGUUCUAGUUCUAUUUGGUAUCCUACUUGGAUCCAAUUUUAUAAACUCAAAAACAAAUUUGAAGUUUACAACCACAAAAACCCGUUUGAAAUGCCCCUUUUUAAAAACUCAAACUCAAGAAAAAUUCAAAAGCACCCUUUAUUAAAAACAAAAAAAAUGAGGUUUUAUAGUUUUUUUCUCUCUCCUCCCUCUCUCUCCUUCCUCUUCCGUCACUCCUUCUCUCUCCUCCCUCUCCCUGUCUCUUUCUCUCUCCUUCCACUCCUCUCUCUCUCUCUCUCUCUCUCUCCCCCCUUUUAUUUUGGAGGUUUCAAUUUGGGAAUUUAGGAUUUCUGAUUUAAAUUUCAAUUUUUUUAGAUCUUAAAAAUAGUUUGGAGUUCAAUACCAAAAAAGUUUUUAAAUCUUAAAAUCACCAUUUGAAAACUCAUAUUUUAAAAAAGAAUCAUAGUUUUUGAAAUUUUUUUUUUUUUUUUUUUUUGAGUAGGAUACCAAACAAGGCCAAUUUCCAAAAAAAAUUCUCAUAUGGUUCUCUAACGUUUUCUCUAAAUAUAUUUGCAUCUCUUUUUCUUUUUUUCUAUAUAUUAUUUAGCCAGUUUUUAACAGGAGAGGUGACUCAUGGCAUGUUGUGUUGACCAUGCACAGUCAUUUAAUUAACCAUAUUAACUAGCUAGCUUUUAUUUUAGUUUUGUUUGUUCAUAUACUGAUACAAUAUUAUUGUUUAAAUAUGUAAAUUAUUUAGGUCUGGUUCAAGGAUGGGCCGCUAUAGUGAUGGGAGUUAUGUCAGGCAGUGUGCCAUGGUUCACCAUGAUGAUAGUGGACAAGAGGUGGAAACUGCUAUCCGCAGUUGACGACACCCUUGGUGUAGUUCACACCCAUGCCGUGGCCGGGUUUCUUGGCAGCGUUUUAACGGGGCUUUUCGCUGAGCCUUGAACUAUGUGCACUCUUUUGCCCGUCACAAACUCGCGCGGAUGCGUGUACGGAGGCUCAGGAGGAAUGCAAAUCCUCAAACAAAUUGUGGGAGCCCUAUUUAUCAUUGGAUGGAAUAUUGUGGUCACCUCCAUUAUUUGCCUAGUCUUACGGUGUAUAGUUCCGUUGCGCAUGCCGGAGGAACAGUUGCUGAUUGGGGAUGACGCAGUGCAUGGAGAAGAGGCAUAUGCAUUGUGGGGUGAUGGGGAGAAGUAUGAUGUUACUAGGCAUGAACUUUGCUCCGAUGAUACGUCACACGCUCAAAAAUAUCCAUCCAGUGGUGCCACUCAGGUGGUCUAACUCAAAGUUAUAUAUUAUUUAUGUUAAUAAUCUGUUCCAAAAAGAAAAAAGAAAAAAAAGGCCAAAAAUGAAAAGAAGAAAAAACGAAGUACGAAAAAUAGGUGUUAUUGUCAAUUAUUAUCUUAUUUUCUAGUGAUCUUUUCAAUGUUUUAUGUAAACUGCCUAUUGACUCCGGUAAUUAUUAUGCACUUUAUUCAGCAAAAUUUGGAACACCAAACCAUUUUUAACAUGUUUAAGAUUAUUAGCCCCUUUUUUUAAUUUACAAAAUAUAAUCACUAGAGCCCUCUCGAAU
rnacentral:lncRNA from 1 species